GAUUGAUAAACUCAAUCAAAUAUCACAUAUAGCAGGCACUCCAAUCUGCUAUUACAUUGUAAAUUUAUGGAUUAAUUUCAUACAUGUCCCUAUAAACAUAGUAAAUGGCAAAUAUAUUCCUACGAAGUUCAAAUUUUAUAUGUAGUUUCUGUAAAAGUUCUGAUAUUUUCAAAUAUGUCCCGAUAGUUUACUUUUUUUUUUGAGAGAUUUCCUAGCGCAAGUGGCAAAAGGCUUAGUGGUUUGUACCGGAGCUCCAAAGUUCGAAUUCUAGUUUAUUCAUAUAUUCAGCUAAGCCAUACUACAUAUGAAAGUUGAACUUUGUAGAGAUAUAUUUGCUAUUCAUUAUAUUUGCAGGAACAUGUAUGAAAUUAAUCCAAAAUUUAUAAUACAAAAUUUAAACAAAAUUCCAGUGUUAAAAUAGAGUUUAUAAAAGCUUUUACUUUUAUUUCAAAAUUUGCACAGGUCAUGCAAAAAUAAUAUAUGCCUGUGUGGACCCCACACAACCUACUAUUAUAUUAAUAUUUGUAAAAAAAAAAAAGAAAAGAAAGAAAAAGAAAAACUCAUUUACUUUUGAGGAAAAAGUAAUCAAUUGUGUUGCUGUCCAUUUCAGAACCUGUUCAAUGACAGUUCCUUCUACUAUACCCUGCAGGAUUGUCAAUAAAAAGACAAGGAAUUAUUAAUGUACUACUACUCUUCUUACAGGUCCAUGCAAACACCUAGAACAUAGAUCCAAUGAAAUAAUUAGGGAUAAAUUAUACAAUAUUCUCAAAAUCAAAAAAAAAAAAAAAAACAAACUUGAGGCCACUUUGUGAUAUGACCAGGAGUAGACUCUCCAGAGCUAAUUUGUAAUAUAGCAAGAAACUUUCCAAAUGAAGCCUCUUGUAAAUCCUUUAGAUUUCUUCUUUUUUUUUUCUUUUUUUUUUUUUUGAAUUGACAUUCAAUUUCCUUUCCCUUGAGAAAACUUAGGACAGUUUCUCACACUACAUAAAAAGUGAUUGGAAUUAACAUAACCAAGUAAUUACAGCAUACAAAGUUAGCUUGUUAAAAAACAAGAACAAACAUCUGAUUCAAUUAAUUCCCCAGAGAAAGAAGAAACUGCUUUAUUUUUUUCUUAUGAAUAUAUUCAGAAGUACUGUAGGGUGUGUCAAAUUUAUUAUAAGGUCAUUUGAUCACAUCUCAAACAAAGAUCCACAAGUAAGAAGAAGAGGAGGAGGAAUUAGAGGUGCUUGCUACAAAUAUAUAUGCCAGCAAAAAUUUGAAUCAGAUCACAAUUGACAUUAUAAUUUUUCUUUUUCUCCUAUUCUAUCUCUUUUCACCUGUCAAAAAAAAAAAAAAAAAAAAACGAUAAAAGAACCUCUAUCCAAGUUACCAUGUACAACAAAUUCCCCUGUAUUAAAAUGCAUGAUUUGUGUCUUGGUCCGUGCCGCGCAGGCACUCUUGCAUGAUCUGAAUAUUCUCAGGCAGAUCAGGGCAGCGCUUUUGUCUUGCGGCUCGCGAGCCCGCCGCUCUCCAUGAGAGCAGCCAGCGUUGGUGAGGAGGCCGGCCGCGAGAGCGCGCGCGGCGUCUCACGGGCCCUGGCGUCGCGGUGGCGGUGGCAACCACCUCCCAACAGCACCCCGACCCGCCGCUCCGCCCCGCUCCCUCCCGCUCUUCAUCAUCCGUCCACCACCAACUCCUACCGCACUCCUCCACCCCGCAUAUCUCCCCACCCUGCCCUCCGCGUCACACCCGCCGCCGCUUCCAAAACUUCAACCGCGCCGCCCGCCGCCGCCGCCCGCCCCGCCGCGCGCCCCCCAUAAAACCGCUCGCCGCGGCGCCCACUGCGCAGCGCGUCACCAUCUCCCCCCUCCCCCGCCGCGACCCCGCCCCGAUCCCGGCGAGGCACCCCAUCGCCGCCGCCGCAGCCGCCGCCGCCGCGGGGGCGUCGCCCUCUCCGGCGAGCCGGAUCAGCUCCGGGAUCAGAUCCGGCGCCUCCGCGACCGCCGCGGCCUCCGACUCGCUCCCGCACGCCGCGAUCAGCGACUCCAGAACCCGCGCGGCGUCGACCCGCGGGCCCAUCUCCUUCGUCCUCAGCACGCGGGCGAGCGCCGCGGCGGAGGCGCCCGGGUCGGCGGCGGCGGCGACCGCCCGCUUGUCGGCGCCGUCGGCGGCGAGGACGAGCGCCAGAACCCGCGCCGCCGCCGCCUCCGCGCCCUCGACCCGGAGCAGCGGCGCGACGGCCGCGGCGAGCCCGUCCUUGUCGACCUCCCCCUCGUCCUCGUCGUCCUCCUCGAGGAUCGCCGCGAUCUCCCGCAGCGCCGGGGCCGGGUCCGCCGCGUCGCGCGCCUCGCGGAGGAGCUCCUUGACCGCGGCGGAUGGGGAGGAGGAGGAGGAGGAGGAGGAGAGGGUACUAGUAAUCGCGCUAGGGUUAGGGUUAGGGUUAGGGUUAGGGUUAGGGGCGUUGUCGUUCCAGAGGCGGAUGAGGCGGAGGAGGGUGAGGUUGGGGACGAGGUCGGUGGAGGAGAGGGGCUGCAUGGUGGCGGGGCAGGUGGCGUUGCCGGACUGCAGCCAGCGCUGGAUGGAGGAGCGGUCGUAGGUGACGCCGGUGCAGAGGCUGACGGGCGACCUCAUGACGUCCAGCGAUAUCGGGCAGCGGAAGAAGCUCGGCACCUUCACCUCCAACGCCCUCCUCGUCUUCUUCUUCUGCGCCAGUACGCCCUCCUCCCCCUCCUCCUCCUUCCUCCUCCCCAUCAUCAUCAAUCAAUCAAUCAAUCUAUCUAUCAACACCUUGCUUACUCUUUAAUAAUCUUCUUAAUUAAUUCUACUAAUUCCUCCUUGUUGCUACUCCCCCUGAUUGUUCUGAUUCCUAGCUAAUUAAUAAUGGGUGUGGUGUGGUGUGUUGUGAUGUGUUUUGUGUGUGGGAUUUGGGAUGGUGAUGCUCCCAAGGAGGAAGAAGAAGAAGAAGAGGGAGAAGAGAUGAUGAGAAAAGAGGGAGGGAGGGAGGAGAGAAUGGAGUAGAAAGGGAAAGAUGGGGGAAGGAGUGGGUUUUAAGGUGGUGGAAAUGGAAAUGUAGGAGUAGAUGGAGAAAAAUAAAAAAACCCCCCUUAACUAUAGAUUAUUCUACAAUUGGUCCUUGUACUUUCCUUAGUUUAGGCAAACAAUAUCAGGAGGAGAAGAAAAAAUAUUUGAUAAAAAAGAAUAUUUGAUGCCUACUACCUAACCAAUAAUUUGUAAAAAAAAAUUAAUCAUAUAGCGAAAUAUAAUAAAUUUUAAUACCUAAAAGUAAUAUAGGUCACGUAUAAUUAUAUGACUGUACUGUGUAAAGCAUAAUAAAAUAAUAAAUAAUAAAAUUUAAUAUUUUGGGUCAGAUGUUGUAUAAAAUUAGGUAGAUAUGAACUAAAGAAAAAAUAAUUUUAAGUAGAGGGGUCUCCUUGCAUAUUUCAUCCUUUUCAAAGGAGAGAGAGAGGGAGUCAAAGAAACUGAGGGAGGGUGAUGACGUAGGAUGGGGGGUUGCUUUCAAAUUUUUUGGGUUUUUCUUGUUUACUUUGCCAAUUGCUUUCCCAUCUUUCUUUUUCUUUUGUUUGCUGCGCAUAUUUUUUCACUGGUAUUAAUAAUGGUGUCGAUCCGUUUAUUCAAGUACUCUCUUUUUCUUAUUCUUUUUUUUAUUUUUUUAUUUCUCUUUUUGCCUUGUUUGGUCUACGGUCAAAGGUGCGUGUUCCGGGUUAGCUGAUUUCGUGGGGAUAUAGGUCAAAAUUUAAAACUGGGGUGGGGAUUGGUUACGUGGGAUUAUUCGUGAUAUUAUAUGGUCUCAUUAUUCCACAGUAAUUUUACUGGAGCUGUGGGACCCACGUGUGGUUAGGAAUUACCAGUAGGAAUGCAAACGGGACGAAUCCGAAUGCAAGAAAGAUCGCCAUCUCUCUUUUUCUUUUUUUCUUUUUUUUUUGUGACGGAUCAGGACAUAUAUUUUGAACGGAUUAAUUUUUAUCAUAUUUUCUUAUUAUACACUCAUUUGAAAUGAAUUGAAACGAAAAUAAAUUUAGGACAGAUUUUUAGCAGAUCGACCAUCACUUACGAUUUCAUUAAAAACGAAUCAGUACGGAUGCUCCACUAGCCUGGAUCCAUUUGCAUCCUUUAGUUAGGAGUUUUUUUUGUAUUGAGAGGGUAUUUGAUGCACACGGCAUGUAUACACAGAGGCCUCUGUAUUGCCCAUUAGAAAUUUAAAUCUAAAUUAUUUUUUUUUACUUGUACCACUUUAGGGAUUUUUACGUACUAAUAUGAUGAAUUAUUUUUUUUCAACUACUCCGUCCUUCUUUAUCAUUGAUUGUUUGUAUGGCAUGAAUUGGAAAGAGUUGGAGACAGAAUCGUACCAAAUGUAGUUGGCAAAGGCUUAAUAAUUGAUACUCAAAAUUUUCAAAUUCGAAAUCUAUACUUAUUUCUGAAAAAGAUAAAUAAAGUCGAUAACUUGCUACUUUUCUCUCUUAAGAAAAAAAGGACAAAGUUGGAGACUGAAUCAUAGAAAUUAUACAUUAACCGGGCGAGUACGCUCAAUUCAUUUUACUUUAUUGUACUUAUUAGGUUAAUAUAGUUCAUUCAAUUUCAAUCUCAAACGAAGCAUUAUAAAAUAGUGAAUUCUCAACAAUUUUUGCUAUUUACAUAUAUAUAUAUAUAUAUAUAUAUAUAUAUAUAUAUAUAUAUAUAUAUAUAUAUAUAUAUAUAUAUAUAUAAGCUAUUUAGAGGCCGUAGAUUACAUCUGAAUUCAGAUUUAAUUAUCUCUGUAAUUGAGUUUUGUGAUUUGCUCUGAUAUAUUUGUGGAGACUUUGACUAUUUCGUCAAAUUUUUUUAGAAAGAAAGGUAAUUUGCUAUAAAUUUUGUUUUUUUUUUAAAAAAAAAUAAAUUUUGCUAGAAAUAUAAAGUAAUUAGAUUUCGAAUUUAAAAUUUUAGAUACUAAUAAUUAAUUUUUUUUUUCACUUACCCUGGCUUGGUACUGUUCUGUUGUUAUUGUAGGGAUUAUGGUCUACGGAGGCACGUGGGGCCCACGUGCCUAACCAAGUAACCAACGCCGCGGGAACUCCACGGGUUGGUCGUCGCUCGUAGUUAACGGCUCGGAUCCGUGAGAAAGGUAACGGACGUUUAUCACACGCGUGGGUCUUAACACGUGGGAUGCAUUUUACCGUUACUUGAUUUUACCUGGAAUAUCAGAAUAAAUUACGAAUUAUUUAAAUAUAAUUAUCUUUUUCAUCUAUUAAAUACUAUAAAAUUUCCAAGUUAAAAAGACAUACGAAAUAUAAUAUUCAUAUCCAUUUAUUUUAUUCCAAUAAAAAGUCUUUUUUUUUUUUCCUUUUUGAAUCGGUCAAAAUUUACAUCAAUAAAUUCAAACUUCGUGAACUUUGCAGAUUAUAUCUAUUAAUUAUGAAAUAUUAAGAGCGGCGUGUACGCGCGGGUCAGGUUAGUGCUUUAAUUAUCGUAUUUGGUUCCACUUAUUUGGCUAAUUAUAGAAAUUAAUUUUGUUAUGCUAAGCUAUAUCUGGGUUUAGUUUAUAUACCGUUCUCAGUUCUCUUCAAUUCGUAACCCUUGUGUAUACGUUAUUACUUCCGUAUACGCGUAUGUACAAGUAAUCUAUUUAAUGCUCUUGCUUUUUUUUUUUCCUUUUUUUUGCAUAAUUAUAUCCGUAACUCUCACAAUUUAGCCAAAAAAAACAUAUAGAUUAUACAUAUAUGUUGAAUUUUAUUUAAUAUCGGCCGAAAAACUAUAGAUGAAACAUAAGGAACUCUCAAAUGUAAAGAAAAAUUAAAAUUUCGAGAGUAAUUUUUCAAAUGACAAAGUGGGGUUCAAACUCUUUUUUGUUUUAAUUAAUGUUUUUUUUUUAAAGAAAAAAGAAAAAAAAAGAGAAGCUUUUAUAGCUUUUUGUGUAGGCCGUGUUUUGAUUAAUUAAUAAAUUCAUCAUUAUUACAGAUCGAGAUCCCAACAAUUUCUAACCAAUCGAUCUUAAUUAUUACUAAUUAUUGUUAUUACUAUUUCUAACUAAUAACCACUAUUAUUAUUAUCACUAUUUUUUUAAAAUUAAAUACUCCCUUUGUAGUCAAUCAUUCUAAAACCUGGAAAAAGAGAAAAUUUAAGUAUGGAAAUUACAACUUUACAACUAAUUUUGAUCAACCUAAUGUGGUAGGUGUGUUGCUUAUAAUUAAAAAAAAAAGAAAUUAGAGUUAGUGGUCAUUAGUCCACAGUGCAUUCCAACAGUGCAUUCCAACCUAGAGCUUAGCUAGAUCACAGCAAGUAAUUAAGACUUAGGUAUUGAGUACAUUAAUUGCUAUUCAAUAAAGUAUUACAAUUAGAAAUUACUAUAAAAAUAUUUUUGUUAAAGAUUUUUUUUUUUUUUUUUUAACAACAGAGAUAAGAAUUCCAACUUGUUCGGAACCGGUUUGAACUAUAAGAUCGAUUGUAAUACAGUUAGAUGAAGUGUUGUUUUAGAACCAUUAUUAGAAAAGAAAAAAAAAAUUUUGUCGUACUUUUAUAGUUGAACUGAAAAAAGUUUUCGACUCUUUUUAUUGCAGAAUAUAUAUGUUAUUACAGGCAAUUAAAAGUAAAAAAUUAGAUAUGGAAGUUUGAUCCAUAGAAUUCUAUCAAUAUUUGAUCAUAAUAAAAAUUAUAGAUUCUUAUUUAUUUUUCAACAAUUCGAAUCAACACAGUUUUUAAUAGUGUGUUGUAUUAUUAAGUGAUUUUGAUGAACACGGCAUAUAUAGGCCUUGUUAUUCACGUUCUAAGCCGUGUUUCGCGUUUGCUUUUGCACUUUGGAUUCUCCGGAGACUUUCUCACGACUUUUAUCCCUUGUUUUUUUUCUUUUUUUUUUUUUUUUUUUGAGGUUUGACUUUUGGGGUUUUUAUUAUUUUCUUUUGACUUACAUGUGAAUCGAAGCUCACCUUUAUAUAUAUAAUAAGAGCUGGGUUGGUAUACUAUCGAUAGUACGAAGGCCUCCGUGCUAUCAAGUUGUUUUUGAUGAUGCGGCUUCUAAAUCGACGAUCGGCUCUGUUAGACUUGAUCUACACUAUUGAAAGUAUUUGGAAACUAAAUUUCAUAAUUUUUCGAUAUCAUUAACUAUCAAACGAGUAGUCUAAAAGUGAACGGCUGAAAAUAAAAUCUCAUAAAAAAUGAUUAUAAAAGACUUGAAUUUAAGAUCAGAUGUACUGAUCAUACUCUAAAGAGUGAAAAUAAUUUUCUAUAAAAAUUUCACUAGAUUUGGAUUGUUUUACACCGUUAAAUUCACAAACGCAUCACAUCAACUAUUAAAAUUGUCAAUUUUGAGACAUUUUGAUCACUAGUCAAAUGAUGUCGAAAAAGUAUGAAAUUUAAUUUCCAAAUACUUUUAAUAGUGUAGAUCAAAUUUAACGGAGCCGAUCGUCGAUUUGGAAACUGCUUCAUUGAAAACAACUUGAUAGCACGGAGGCCUCUGUACUACCGAUAGCAUACCAGUCUAACUCUCUCUCUCUCUCUCUCUCUCUCUCUCUCUCUCUCUCCUAGUUUAGAUUCCUGCUACCGACACUACUAGGUAUAUAAAUAUAAUAUAGUAGUCACCGGAGCUGGUAGUAAAUUAAUUNAUUUUUUCGACAUCAUUUGACUAGUGAUCAAAAGAUCUCAAAAUUGACAAUUUUAAUGGCCAAUGUGGUGUGUUUGUCAGUUUAACGGUGUAAAAUAAUCCAAAUGCGAUGAAAAUUUUAUAGAAAAUUCUUUUCACUAUUUAGAGUAAGAUCAGUAUAUCUGAUCUUGAAUUUAAAUCUUUUAUCAUUAUUUUUCAUGAGAUUUUUAUUUUCAGCCGUUCAAUUUUAGACUACUUGUUUGAUAGGUAAAUGAUAUCGAAAAAUUAUGAAAUUUAGUUUCUAAAUACUUUCAAUAGUACAGAUCAAGUCUAACGGAGCCGAUCGUCGAUUUGGAAGCCGCAUCAUCGAAAACAAUUUGGUAGCACGGAGCGCUCCGUGCUACCGAUAGUAUAGUAGCCUAGUUCUAUAUAUAUAUAUAUAUAUAUUUCCAGGUUUUCUCACUGGAUUCUUGAUGGCGUAGCCAUAAAUUUGGAUCACUAGUGCAGGGUUUGGAAUAAGAUCCGAUUGAAUAUUUCAACCAAUGUAAGAUAUUAAUCUCUCGAAUUGAAAUAGAAUGAUAUAAGAAAAAGAAAAAGAAAAACAAGAUCUUGUAAUAGAAAGAAAUUGAAAUGGACUGAUUAAAUUUUUUUAAAAAAACCUGUAUAAAUCGAUUGUAGCCAAUGUUUUGAAACUCAAAUCGAUCUGGCCGGUCGGACCGCCGUGCAACCUAGUGUCCAAACUGAUUCGGUUCAACCUAUAAAACCAAACCGACUUCAAACCAGUUUUAACUCGUUCAAAUUAGUGUUUUUACUAGUAAACCGAUGAACCUGCCGACUUAUCUUUAAUCAUAUAUUUUAAUAAUUAAUUAAAGUAUAUUUAAAAAUAUUGUAGAACAUUUAUAUUUAGGAUAAGUUUUUUUUUACUUUAUAUUGUAUAAAAAAAUUAUAAUUAAAUAUUUAUAACAUUAUACUAAUGCCAUUCAACUCAGCGAUUGGGUUCAACCAGUGACCGAUUACCUCAUGGUACUAUUUAUCAUCAGCAUAACAAUACUGUGCUAACUGUGCUUAGUAAGUGAUUACUAUGACUAAAAAAGGUGCUUUUCAUUUUGCUAUUUAGGACUCGUUUGGGAUUAUAGAAAGAUUGCGUUAUGUGUGGUGAGAAAGUACGAUGAAAAAGUAUUCUAUUUGUUUCAGUACGUAAUAUUGCGUUCCGCAUAUCGCGACGAGUCGGUUACUAUAUAUUUUUUGCAGUCCCACCGAAGAACGCUGAAGUAUAUCCCUAUAUAUUUUUACCGCAACUUCAUUUUAUCUAAUAGCGUCAGAUGAGUCUCAAUACCAAACUAAGUUUUAGUAAAUAUAUAUUAUGAAUUUAUGGAUAUGGCACUUAUUAGUGUGCAAGUUUUGUUAGGAUUUCAUUUGCAAUAAUUUGGUCUCAAAUGAAAUAACUAUCAAAGAAGUAGAUUCUAGGCCUGCUUAGUUGCUAAUUUGGGUUAUACAAUGAUAAACUUGUGUGCAACACAAACACUCUUAUAUUUCUAUUAGUUGUUGUUGCAAGGCUCUUGGGUGCAAAAAUAAAAGAAAUGUAGCACUCUCCAAUUUUUAACAUUGUUGUGAGUGCAAACAAAAAUAUAUGAAACUAUAACCAACCAACUUAUUUAGAAGUUAGAGACCUGCAUUUAAUGUUAUCACCUUGUUCUUGGAAACUAUAGCUAGUGCAUUAAAACAAGUCAUAAUACUAGGGUGGAAUGGUGGUUUCUAGUUGAGGAAACUUAAGCACCAAUUUUUUGAACUAAAAGAGAAAGAAUUUACCGAUCGUCCUGAGAGCAAGUGGCAAAGGAGUUGGUGAUUGGUACCCGAAACUCAAAUUCGAAUUCUAAUUAAUUUACAUUUCCAGCAAAAUUUAUUUUUAAAUAAAAUAAACGAAACAGGUAGCGUGCUACCUAUCUCUCAAAACAAAAGAGAAAGAACUUUUUUCAGUUGAGGUGUGUGUCCACCAACUAGUUUGGUUCAACUGUUUCUAAAAGUGUACAGCUUUGGUUCAAGCUCACAUGGGUUGGGUUGGCUCUGUCCCAACCCUUUAACCACAUUAGACCAGGUACCAACCAAACCUACUCCCACCACCAAAAUAUAUAUAUAUAUAUAUAUAGAGAGAGAGAGAGAGAGAGAGAGAUAUGAUUCUCUACAAAUUAGGUUACAAAAAUUGGUACGACCAAACUUUAUAGGGAGAGAUUAUGAUUAUAUUUGUUAGUUUCAUCAAAUCUUUAAUAGAAUUUUCAUUUAAACUUUGAUACUCUUAAAGGAUCCAAUUGGGUUUCCAAUCGUCUUCCGAAUGUUAGCAAGAGAUUUCAUUAUAUUAUUCGUCCAAAAUUUUAAGCAGAAGAAUGAUAUUUGGACUCGAAACUUCUUAAUUCGUUCAAAAUAUGAAUUUUAAUUAAAGAGAAAGAAAUAAAAUAAGACUGGGAGUCUGACGGGUGUCGUACUCUGAACCUCAUGUUCUGAUACGAUAUGAAAUUACGUGAAAUAAUAUUCAACAUAGCGUGAUUGGACCUUUUCAAUUAAUUAAGUCCCUUCUAUCUACUAGCUUAUUAACCCAAAAUUAUUUCUAACUUGAUUGGAACAACUGAUAGAUGCUGAAAGCUUAAUUGCACUGAUUAAAAAAUUAGAAGCAAAAUAGAAAGAUGGGAUAUAAUAAUAUUAGUGACUAGUGAUGUAAUUAGCCCUUAAUAUUUUAUAAAAUUGAACCGAGCCGCAUAACUUACAUAAUUUAGAAAAUAUCAUACAUUUGGGGUGGAGAGAUCCCCAAAUCUAUGGGGUUCAUUUCAAUGUUGUAUAAUAACAAUUACGAGUCAAAAAGGUACCAAAUAAAUAAAACUACUAUACGAACCAUUUUUGGUAAAAGAUACCCCCACAUGCAUCUUUAUUCGUAACGCACGGUAGAUAUGAUCGUGACGCUUCGUAGUUGACUGAUUCUGGGGUCGUGUGGUUUGGAUUCGAGUCCAAAAUUCCAAGAUUUGAAAUUGCUUUGGAGGACCCAAAAAGAUCCUAUAAAUUAUUGAUAUGUUAGUAAGAAUUGGGCUUCUAUACUUUUAAAAGUACUAAGUUAUUGAUGCUUGUAGAUUUUUAGCCAUUGGAUUAAGAGAUAUGCGAUUAGAAUGAUAUGAACCUCCUAGGGUUGAGUGGGUGGUUGGUUGAAUAGUAUAAUCUAAUGGUUGAAAAUGAUCCGAGAAAUAGAUAUAACGGUAAAAAACUUACAAAUAUCAAGUGCUUGGUGUUUUUACAAGUACCAUAGCUGGACUCUGUUAGUAAAUAUAAAUGUAAUAUUUUAAACUAGAUUAACAAAUUAGUUUUUAAAACCUCUCUCUCUCUCUAUAUAUAUAUAUAUGUUCUAAUAAAUAUUGAUAAAAAAUUCUUAAUAAUGGAAUACUCUGAGUUCUUAUUUAUUAUUGAUAUUGAUGUGUCGAUAAAUUUAUAUAACUAUACCUAUAAACAAAUGACUAAGAAUUUGUACAUCAUGUAUUGUCUAUAUCAGUAAUUUAUAAGAAAAAAAAAUAUAGAUUUUACUAUGCAAUUUUUCAACUUAUUUCAUUUGCGUCCGCUAACGAUAUUUUGACCUUAAAAUUUACGCUAAUGAUAAUUACGAAGAUUGCGUGAAGAAUAGUAACUAAAUUUGUAAAAAUAAGCGAAGUAUUUAAAAUUUAAAAUCAAAGAGCUGUCGACUGAAUUAAAUCAAACAAAUAAAAAUGAUGAAUAAUAAAUAGCAGAUUCGAAAUUGAUUUAUACUUCAGAUAAGUUAUGUAACCUCCAAAAUAGGAAGUAGCCAAUUAAAGCACUUAAUUAAGGAAGUCAUUGUUAUUUGACUGGGACUCCACCAAAUCUCAUUAAAUAAACACAUUAAAUUGGAUGGGGUCUUUGCUUUACGUGUAGAAUAUAUUAAUUUCCAAGUUUGACGAGGUAGUGCGUACCGAAUAAGGUGAAUUGAGCCAUCACUAACACUGUUCUAUAUUUAUGAUUUAUUAUAAACAUUACCAUAAAAAGAAAAUUCUCAUAUUUGUGAGUAGUUUAUACUUUUUUCUUUUUUGGAUAAACUUCAAAUACCACAGGUGAUUCCGCACUUUCUCAUUUUAAUAUCUUAUAGUUUAAAGUGUAUCAAUUUAGUAUUACGUGGUUUCAUUUUUUUUCUUUUCGUCAGCUUUUCCGUUAACAUUUUGUUAAAUUAUAUGCAAAAAAGAAUAUUUACUUUAGUAUCUUUUAGUUUUAAUCUUGUCACUGAUUUAACGGAAAAAAAUUAGUAAAGAGAACAAUAAAAAGAGAAAAAUAAAACCACGGGUAAUAAAUUGAUACACUUUAAAUCAUAGAAUAUUAAAAUAAAAAAAUGUGAAACUAUAGGAGUGAUAUUUGAAAUUUUUUCUACUUUUUUUCUCCUAAAAUGCCUCUAUUGCCCUUUCAAUCAUUUUUUUUUUUUUUCUUUUAGAAGCAGUAGGUAUUUAACAUAAAAAAAUAUUUAAUAUGAGGUUCUCUGAAAGCGGAGUUCAUGUGUUAUAUAUCCUCACUUUUGGUGAACUAAACAUGCCUAAGCCAAACACGGCAAAUGAAUGUUAUUGCAACUGAGCUUUUGCUUGGCCCAAUUGCUCCGCUGAUCAAUACUAUGUCGUCGUCCGUCGACUUAUUUCGUGCUCUGCGUGCGUGCGUGCCUGAUAUUUUAUUUGGUAUAUUUUUUUAACAAUUAAAAAAAAUAAAAAUCAGGGUACAAUUUUAAGUGUUACCAUACCUGGGCCGUUUGUAGGCCCACUUAAUCAUAUUGGCGUCGAUACUUAGAUUCGGCCUACAUACGUAUGGGCCACAUUAGGCCCAUUUAGUCGUAUUGGGCCCUUUUGCACCCCUUUCCCAUAAUUUACUGGGCCUGGCUAGAUUAAGUGGGCUUUGUGAUAAGUUUCUAAUUUUGGUAUCUCUCAUUUUUUACCUAAAAUGGAAAGUUUUCACUUUUAAUUACGGAAAAACUUCAAAAACCCUCCCUGUGGUUUCGUAGUUUCUCAUUUUGCCCCCCUGUGGUUUAAGAUGUAUCAAUUUGCCUCCGUGGUUUUGUUUUUAUCUUUUCGAUAGCUUUUUCGUCAAUAUUUUAUUAAAUUAUAUAUAAAAAACUUCAGAUAUCUAUCUAGAUUUAUCAAAUAUUCACUUUAGUACCCUUUAAUUUUAACUUUAUCACUGAUUUAAGAAAAAAAAUAAUGAAAUUGAUAAGCAAAAGAGAAAAAAAAACCACAGGGGGGGGGGGAAAUUGAUACAUUUUAAAUCACAUGAGGGCAAAGUGAGAAACUACAAAACUACAGGGGGGUUUUUGAAGUUUUCCUUUUAAUUAAUUGUGAUACAUAUUGCCAUUUCCCCCUUUUGUAGUCGGCGCCGAAACAUCUUUGGACGCCGACAUCAGUGGGUAAGCUCAACUUGCCUUUCUAUAAUUUAUGUCUCAACUUUUUUCCUUUUUUUUUUUUGAAAAAAAAAAUUUCCCCUGUAAAAUCUUGUAAACUCUUCCAAAUUAUCUGUACUAAUUUAGGUCUCGAGCUCUAUUUUUGAUUCUUUGUAUGAUUUUAAAUUGAAUAAAAUAUCACCCAACUUAGUAGAUUGAUGAGUUGUGAGCUUGCAUGGAGCACAUAGCAUGUAAGCUACUAUUUUAUAUGUAUUAUUAUUAUAAAUCUUAUGACAAGCUCCACCUCAUCAACUAUGACAUGUUCAAUAGAAUGAGAACAUGGUGCAAAUAUCAAGGAUGAUAUGCAUGUCUAUAACUUUGACAACUAAUAACACUCAGUUUAAAACCCCUUGAUAUUGUAGUUAAUUAAUAGCACAAUCAACAUUGGACUAAUUAUUUCAAAUAUGACACAAUUAGUAGACACAUUGGAGAAUAAUUAUGUACUUUGAGAAUAAUCUUGUGGGCUCAUGUUAGCUUUUAUGCAUGCAACAGUUGUAUUUAAUUAUCCAAUACAUAACUUAUAAUAUAAGCUUAUGUGCAUCUUUUAUCUUUUAUUUAUAAAGCAUUAUGCCUUUGAAAACAAGGUUUUAAAGUACUCUUUUGUUCUCUUAAACGUACUCUAAUGUGUCUCACCUUUUCCCACUCAGCCACCUAAUAAGGGUCAACCUUUGGGGUUAAUUAUGGUAACCACAAAUUAACAUUAUUCUAUUACUAACCCUGGAAAUUGGAAACAUGUAUUAUUAAUCCAUUACAAUCCUAGAUGCAAUGUAAACAGGAGAAAAUAUUUCGUAGAUUAUCGGUCCAUUUUUGUAUGAACAUAAUGGAUUUAUUGAGCCUGAUCAAAUUACACUAGUGAAUAUUAAUAAGAAGAUUUAAUGAAUUUUCCUGUCAUUCAAUACAAUACUAUUGAUAACACUGUUGUUUUAUAUACAGUUUCCAAUUCUAUUUCCAACUUGUGAAUUUAUUGGUGCCUGUUCUGGCGCUUGAAUUUCUAUAGAAAUACUAAUUCGAGUUAAGCUUGUAUUUCUAAAAUUAAGCUUAUUUUGACUUUUUACGGCAUUAAACCUCUAGAGAAAGAGUUUUUAAUUAAGAAGCUAUCCAAACAUGCUCUAUUAGCCUUUCAAAUUUGAGUUAGAGUAUAAUUUGUAGGGCAACAACCCUAACAAUGCUAUAAUUGUAAAAGUGUGAUAGUGGGGCCAUGGCUCAAUAAAUAUGGAGACAUAGGCCACAUCUUUUCCUUACUUUAAACAAAACAAACAAUCCCCACCAUACAUGAUAAUAAUUGUAAUAGUAAUUUAUUUAUGUUAACCUCUAUGAUCAUCCUUUUUCUUUUCCUUUUUUUUUUCUUUUUUUGUUUUUGUUUUUUUUUUCCAUGUUCUACACUCUCUCAUAUGAAAGGACUAGGAAUCCGCGCAUGUAAGCAGAUCUCGUCCUUUCCUCGCCAAGGACUACUUUUUAAUUAAUUCUCCUCCUCCCACUAUAGCUUUUACCCAUUCCACAUUCAUUUUUCUUUCUAUUUAGUAAUUCCAUAAAAUUACUUUAAGAUAUAUAGAGCUCUUUUUUUUGCUUUUUUAAUUAAUAAUAGGAAAGAUAGAGCUUUAAGAUAGACAAACAACUUACAGUGGCAUUACCGACCGUCCCUAGAGCAAGUGGUAAAAGACUUGAUGGUUGAUAUUCGAGACCCAAGUUCGAAUCCUAGUUGAUUUACAUUUUCAGUUAAAUUUAUUUCUAAAAGAAAUAAACGAAACGGGUAGCGUGCUACCUAUCUCUCAAAAAAAAAAAAAAAAACUUACAGUGGCAUUGACCUGCUUGUGAGUUGUGAAUUUCUACACUAGAAGCUUCCACAAUGCAUUCAAUCUGGUAAAAAGAAGAGUUUUACCAUUUAAUUUGUAUUUGGCUUAUUGAUUAUGAUUGCAUCUAAUCAAGUAGAAUUACUAAACCAGAAGAUGCUCAGUUAAUUUGAUUGGUUGUUUCAUAGGUUGAUUUGGUUAGGCCAUUGAUCAUGGAGAAAAUUGAUUAGGAGCUCACAGAAGCUAAUUAGCCACAAAAUCAGCUAAUUAAAUGGCAAAGCAUGCAUAUAACUUGUGACAUAAUUGUUAUCAGCAUUUUCCAUCAUAUUACUAAUCUAUGAUUUUCUUUUUACCAAAAACAAAUUGUGUUUUUUGACUACACAAACUAUGAUUUGGUUUCUUUUAUGGCCAUAACAUAGUCUAAUGUGGAAUUUCUAUGAUUAAAUGGCAAUAAUCUCCUUCCAAUUAGUUGCAAACUAACAUGCCUAAAUCAUGGGAAAAUUUGGACCCAUCUACUUAAAUAUGGUGGGGACAAAACCAUGACUUUGCAGUUGCAACCUUGACUCCCUUUACAAUAUGGGAAACUUGUUGGUUUUCCCAUCAAUUAACAUGAAUAAAUAAACUACAAUAAUAAUAAUAAUAAAAAACUUACCACAGCUACUUGAUUGAUCUGGAGUUAUAAUCUCUGGGUAAUUGUAUUCCUAACCAAUUUCAUUAUAUUUUAUCACAUGUGGGUCUCUACAAUCCUAAAAAUCAAAAGAAAAGAAAAGAAAAGUAAUACAUGCACUAUACUAUUCAGUAUAAUUAUUUGACAAAUAUUUGUACCAUAAGGCAUUCAAUCCCACAUGAUAUAAAUACUCAAGAGGAUAUAUAUGCAUUCAAAGAAGUGCAAGCUGCAGAGAAUAUCACAUUGCAGCAUUAAACCAUAGUAUUGAUUGAUGAAGUGCCAAGUAAUACUGUUAAGAAAAAAAUACUACUUUUUUUAUAAUUAUUAAAGUUUUUUAGAUUAUCUUAAUAGCAUAAGCAAAAGCUCUAAAGUAAAGCGCUUACUCUAUUUUAUGAUUUUACUCAAAUUUUGUUACCCAUCAUUCUCCCUCGUUUUGGUUUCCUUUUCACUCUUCCUUUUCAUUCAAAUUUUAUUUUGUUACUCUUGCAUAUUGAGGUUUGGUUAUCGCACUUUCUGUAGCUGACUUCAUAUUUCUUGAUGAAUGAAACAGAUAGUUUACUAUCUUUCUCCUUACAAUAAAGCUUUUGUUUUUGCCGCUCAGAAGCUAUUUGUUAAGUUAAAAUUAAAAAAGGGAUAAAGUAAGUAAAAUUCAAUCAAACAUUAUCACCUAAAAUGAUUGUUCCUUUAACACAGCACUGAUCCUAUGUUAAGUACUUCUCCAAUACUUUUACAGGAGAGAGAGAGAGAGAACACAUCAUCAAAAUUAAUUGGUCCAAGGGACAUGUAGGGCCAUGCAUGGGAGGCUUGAAACAACAGUAGCAUUUCCUCAAGUCGGCCAUUGAAUGCCUGUGGGCCUCUCCCUCCCCACCCUUUACCCACCUAACUGGCCGACAAGAACCUCCCCCACCUUUUCUAUUAGUCCUUGCCCAAUUCCAUUCUUUUUUAUUUAAUGGGUAAAUUGCAUCCCUACUCCCCCAACUUUUGGCCAACUUUACCUUUGGUCCUUGAACUUCUAAAGCAACUUAUUAAUUAGUACUAGUCCUUGUUUUUGUACAAUAAAAUUUUAUGUACAUUUAGAUGUUAGAUAUGCAUCUAUUGACACUUCGUUCUCAUCUCAUAUUUUGAUUCUAUCGACCAUUGGGUUGCUAUGUUGUCUCUCUUUAAAAAUUGGAUGGAUGAUAGAUUAAUCUAAGUGCGCACAGAUGAAAAGAUGAAGUGAUCUGAUGUAAGUAAUAAUAUUUUCUACAAAAAAAAAAAGAAUCAAAUUAAGUGAGACACCUUUAAUAAAUCAAAAUGUAGAAUGUCGAAUUUAAAAGUUAAAAGAGAAAAGAAAAAUUAAACUUGGAGAAAAGUUGAGGAGCUAGUAGUGCAAUUCACCCUUUUUAGUUAAUCUCCUUGUCCAUUCAUUCACUUUCCAAAAAAACCCCCUUCUACUCUUUCUCCAACAUUCCAACCCCACCACUCCCCCACACCAUCACCACUACUACUAUUUGCACUACAACCUAGUUGUAUGGUUAAGCCUAUCCAUAAUUUUUAAUACAUUUUUUUUUUCCUUUCUUUCUUUGGUUUCUAACAAAUCCAUGUAUGUAUAUAAACUACAUAUUUAAUGAUCAUGGGUGCCAACCCAUAAUACUUACGUUCACAAUAUCCCUCUCCCCUCUCCACCCCUUUGCCAUUUCCUUACAUUAAUUCCUCCAAGCUCUUCACCCCCACCACUACACCUUUAAGUUCUCUUCUACCUCUCCCUCCCCCUCCUCUCUCUCUCUCUCUUCUUCUUCUUCUUCUUCUUCAUCUCUACUCAUUAUUCUUAAACUCAAGUGAACUUAAUUCAAGCUUCUUCAUCAUCUUCUUCUUGUGAAUUUAUAAUGGGUUUCCUCUUCUCUUCUUCAUCAUCUUCCUCUCAUUCAAUUCUAGUAUGGUGGCUUAUGCUUCUAUUGGUUUCAUGUUGCCAUGGGUCAAGAACCAUGCAAGCAUUCAAAGAGAGGCCACUGGCGAGGAGGAGCCCUAACUAUUUCCUAGGGUUUUUGCCGAGGGGGAUGCCGAUACCGCCGUCCGGCCCGUCGCGGCAGCACAACUCCAUUGGAGCACUGAGCCAUAGUUCACCUUGAUGCUUGAAGAUGAGUGGAUAUAUAUAUAUAUAUAUAUAUAUAUAUAUAUAUAUAUAUAUAUGUGUAUGUAUGUAUUAGAGCAAUGAGCUGGGUUUAAUCAAUGUACAUGUUAAUUUUGUUUAGGCAUAUAUAUAUACAUUGUUUCUCUCUUCCUCCUUAGAUCUCUUUCCUUGGGUGCAUGUUAAUUUUCUCUCUCUUUCUUUACUUACAUAAAGCUAGAGAAUGGUAUCCUAUGAUAUACCUUUUUGAUCAGUGGAGUAAUCACUUUAGCUCAUGACAUAGAGACAAAGAGAAAGAGAGAGAGAAGCUUCUAAGAUGGUGCAGCUCAAAAUCUGACAAUAUGGUCCACAGUUUGAAAGAAUGUCUGAGGAUGUAAAUUUGUUUCUUAUUUUUCUUUUUUCUUUUUUCUUUUUUUGUUUGUUGUCUUUCAUUCUCUACUUGUUCUCAUGAUAUAUAAUCUUCCUUUCUAGCUAGUUAAGGGUUAGGGUUUUGCAGAGAAAUAUAUAUUGUAGAGACAGUUGGUAUAGGUAUAUACAUUUUGUCCCUUAAUUUCCUCCUGAUGAGAAAUAUAUAUACACAUGCUAAGAUGAGGUUUUGAACCCUCUCGUGUGCUUGUUCUUGUUUUAUUGAUAAUUUACUGUUCAUGAUCAUGUUCACAACAGUGUUAAUGGUACAGAAUUUUAGCUUAAUCUCAUUUAACAAAUUAUGGGGUAAUACUUGUAAAGGGUAUUACUAUUCAUGUGCUUCUACCCUUUAUAGUUUUUGAAUGUCUGAGUUUAGUGAGGAUGCUAGAUAUAAAGAUAUAGUUAAAUGUAUUUUAACUCUUUAACUCUUAUUUUGACUACACAAUACUAUGUGGAUAUAUAAAGAUCUCGUUAUAAUAAUAAUAAUAAUAAUAAUAAUAAUAAUAAUAAUAAUAAUAAUUAUGAAUUGUUGGAGUCGUUACGGGGGUUAAGAGUCGGUGAUAAGGGACACAACAAGGACCGGAUCUUGUAGCCAUUACUUUGACCAGGCACAUAGUUUCACUGUGCUACAUAAUCUUAGGGGCAUGGUCGUAUGACAUGGGUGGGGCCCAUUGCUGGGGCGUGAAAUCCUAGAGAUUUUGAGUGUGGUGAUUUGACCUCUACAGCAGAAUAUUUCUGUACAAUGAAUUCCCAGUUUGUCAGCAAUUUAAUAUAAAUAAAUAAUAAUUAAAAUUAAUAAAUUAUUAAUUAAGAAUGAAUUAUUAAUAAUAAAAUAAUUACAUAAUAUAGUAUAAAUAAUAAAUUAAUAAUGAUUAUAAAUAACAAAUUNAAAAAAAAAUCCUGCACCAACGCUGUAAAACCACUGCACCCCUUUAAUCUUAACUUUAGUUUGUUGCAGUGGUGAGCGCAAGUGUUAACUUUAACUUACACGUAUGUUAUUUAUAAAGCUGAUCUUUUGAUAUUGAAUCAUUAGCAUUACCUAAAUUUGGUUAGAUCUAAUAAAUUUAAUUUAUUUUAGUAAAAAUGAAUCUAUUAAUACUGUAAAAAAUCCUUGUUAUGUUAGUAUAUAGGUUUUUUUUUUACAUUUAGCCCCUCUUAAAUUUUUUUUUCACAAAUAGUCUUACAAAAUUUAUAAGUACAAAACUGAUCCUAUCACUACCACGCAAGCGCCACAUUAGCAGCUGUGGAGGAUUAAAUUGAACACCGCGAAUGAUUUACCGUAUUUAAACACGGUGAACCAUUCACCGCAUUUGAACGGGCUGAAUAGUAGUCAACCCCGCAUUGCAAAAAAACUCAAACAAUCCCGUAAUGUAUUUUAGCUUCAAGAUAGUGAAUCAUUCACUGUGUUUUUACCGUGUUCAACUUACACACAGCCACUAACGUGACACUUGUGUGGUGGGAAUAGGACUAGUUUUGUAAUUAUAAAUUUCGUAAGGCUAUUUGUGAAAAAAAAAUUGUGAGAGAUUAAAUACAAAAAAAAGCCCUAGUAUAGACCAUGACUCAUGGCGUUCUAAAUUACUAUGAUUUUCUGCUAAUCUAACUUUGACGAGUGAGAAGUAAAGGAUACAGAAGCUAUGUGAUGUACUAACUAUUUAGUGGUAGUAUAGAAAAGAGAUAUUUUGCAAUUCCCAAGAGCUAGAAAAGAUCAAAAACACUAGAUAGGAGACUAAUCACUCAACAGUAGUAUUACGGCAUGGCUUAGCAAGCUCACUGAAGAAAUAAACCAUCGAAAAAUCCUUAGUAAUAUCAAAAUGAUGAAUCCUAGUGGCCAACAGGGACUAGGAUCAUUAAGCUUGCUGCUUUUGGUUGCUAAAAGUAUGGUUUGAAAAUACAUUUUCCAAAAAGCACUUUUUGAAUGUUUCGAAGCUCCGCAAAGAAAAACUCCAAAGUGUUUCAAAGUUUCACUCAACAUUACUAAACGGCAGUAGAAAACUUAGCACAAGAACCAUCAGACGGACCGACCGUCCGCAAGUGGCAAAAAACUUAGUGAUUAAUACUCGAAGUCCCAAAUUCAAACCUUAAUUGAUUCACAUUUCUAGCUAAAUUUAUUUCUAAAUAAAAUAAAUAAAGUGGGUAGCAUACUAUCUAUCUCUCAAAAAAACAAAAAAACAUCAGACGAGCAGAGCAAUUUUGUCGAAUCUUCGGAACAUCAAAUUAAACAUUCACUUACGGAUAACAUUUUCUAAAAUUAGAUAUAAGUUGAAAAAUUGCUCCAGAAGCUGGACUAAGGAAAAAACAUAAAGGUUUGUUAAUUUGCGGUUUUCCUCUAAACUUGAACUUGACCCAAUCUGUAUGAAGUCACAGUCAAAAAAAUCACUGUUCCACCAGUGAGUAGACAGAGAAAUAAAUGAUGUCCAAUCGGUUUCUAAGACCAGAGGAAAAGGAAUUCUACUGCUGCUUCGGAUAUACAUAGUUCAAGCACUAAAGCACUUCCAGCAAACAAAUCAAAUCCAAGAAGCACUUUUUUCAAUCUGUCUACACCUUUCCAUUUUAAGCUUUCAACUUCACAAGCACUUAAAAGUUACCCCGAGCCAAAAUACUGAAUGCAUAACUACAAAUUGCUACGGACACUGAAAGAUCAUAAAAAUAACCAUUCAUCAACUCCUUUCUCUCCCACGAGUUCUAAUUAGAACCAAGUUCUUUGCAUACAAUAUUUCAAGGACAUGAAAGAAGCUACUAAGGCAAUGAUGCGACAUGUCCCAGUCCUCAGGAUCCGGAUUGUACUGGUGCCUCGUGUAACAUUAAAUCAGGCACCGAAACCUAAGUGAGAUGGUUGCUACAUGGAGUAAGAUAUUAUGUUGCCAUCCGUGAAAUUUUUGGACAUUUCCAUGAGAGCUAAGAGCUUCUUCCAAGUUGUGUGGCCAUGUGAAAAGCCCUUCUCAUCAAUGUCUCAGCGACAAGUUAACUCACCCAACAAUAGUAAAGAGAGAGAAAGCAAGAGGAGAGGUGGUCUCGCCCAAGUGCUUCUUCUCUUUAACAGUUUUUUUUUUUCUCGUGUGCAACUGACGAGGAGAAUCAAUCACAUUUUGACACACCAGAAUGAGAGGCUUAUACAAGAACAGAACGAUAAUUUCAAGGAAAAAUAUCAUUGAUAGGUCCAACAUAAUAGUGUUUGGUCGGUUGACAUUAAUUGUAGGAGGAAUGAUAGAGAGAGAGAGAGAGAGAGAGAGAUAUUCAUACCUUAUCAAUCCUAUUAAGUCACGACAAAUCGUCUAAGUCAAGAAGAAUAUGAGACCUUCAAGAUGAGAUAAUGUCCAAAAGAAAAAAGUUCUAGUAUUUUUAUGCAAGAUAAAAUGUACUUAAUUGGAUGUAAUUGCUAUGGAGAGAGAGAGAGAAAGAGACAGAGAGGUUAUAUCAAUCAUGUGUUCAUGUGCGCGCUAUUUCAUGUCCUUAGCCCCGUGGUUUGUUCUACAAUCUCAGAUGGGACCCUUGUGUCUCGAACUGCUAUGAAGAACCUUCAAAAAUGGCUUUGACUAAUUUGGAUUUUAUUGCUGCGACCAUCUAAGCUACCAACUAGUAUGCAUCCCGCGGUUCGUGCGGGGCUUCCUCGAUUUGUUUUCUACUUCAAAUAUUUAGGUUAGAGGUUGUGACAGAAAUAUUAUAUAUGGGAUAGAAAAUAUAAUAGUUUCUAAGGACAACUUAAUAAAUAACUCAUAAACCUGUAGAAUUUAUCACCGUUCAUAUGACAAAGGUAUAUAUAUGCUCUAGGAUACGUCCGUUACCAAAACUUGGAAAAAUCAUCUAACUUGGAAAAAUCAUCUGAGACCCCUUUAUGUUCCAGUAAAUCAAAUAGAUUGUUUUCCGUCAUUUCUGAGCUUUUUAUAUGAGGAUUAUAAUGUCCUUGUUCUAGAAAGUCAAUCCAUUUUCGACGCAAAUAAGUAUGGUUAAAUACAAAUAUGUGAUGCAAUCCUAGAAUUGUUGUCCAUGCACUGAUAUAUCAUUCAUAGCAUUUCUUCCUAUUUUUAUUUUCGAGGAUCUUCUUCCUUUCGGUUAUUUAUCACAGUAGAUAGAUGUGUUUUGUAUUGAUCCAUAGUUAGAAAACCAAAUUUACUUUCAAAGCUAUUGUUCCUUGUAUUAACCUAUAUAAUUAUCUUGUCUUGGUAUAUAUGUGAUCUAUAUUAUUAUCCUGGUAUAUCUGUAAUGACCAACAUAUUUAAUUCUACAAUCCACAUAAAUAGCUGAACCCAAGAUAACAGGUUGAUUCACAUAUAUACAGGGACUAUUAAGGUAAGGCUACUGUUUCUUAUCUCUUUUGAAUUUUGUUAAAGUCAGUUCAUUUAGCAUGUUUAAGAAUUCUUUAGGAAUUUCAGAAGCGUAUCAUUGUUCGUCCUUCCAGUUUCAAAAGCUUCUUCCUGUAAAUAAGUUUCAGUAUUGUCCAACAACCUUUCCUAAGCUAAUAAUAACUCGAAUUCACCCCGAUUCACCUAAUCACCAAUUUACUUCUGAAUUGUUGUAUCAAUUGACAAAAUUAAUGGACAUCUGACCACAGAAUGCUUUCAAACUUACCUACUGUCACAAGACUCACAAGUCACAGCUAUCUUCUGUUUAUUAAUAACCACACAAAACAAGAUGCGAAGUAAACGGCACACAUAGAAUUAAGCUGACAAGCAGAUAAUAAACAACAGAAGUAAAAGCAAUAUAAACAUUUUGCAAGGAAUUAUAUGCAAGCCAAAGGAAACAUAUCUAAACCAUCUUUAUUCGGUUUAAGUCCGGAAUUUACCUUCUUCCUUCUUUUGCCCACAGCGUUGAAGUACUCACGGCUUUUAACUAGAAAAGAUGAAGUGAUCGAUUGUCUCAGUAUUAUUUAGGACACAAACUACACAUCCACAAACAGCCAAAACAGAUAAAUUAAAAGAUGCAACCGAAACUCCAGAGCUCUCACAUCUUUUCUUAAGAUCUCAUCUCAACAUAGGAUCCGGAAAGCCCUGACGUGCCAAUAAGUGAAACCUACAAGCAAAGUUAAAGGAUUAGUUUGUCGAGUUGACAUUUUUGACAAAAUCAUUAGGAAACAAAGUGAUGUAAACCCAUUUAUAGUGAAUUUUGUUUCUGUCUGGCAAAAAUAAUGCUUGUGGUAUCAUGAUACAUCAUGCUCACUAGUCAUUUGUAAAGCCCUACUUCUAAAUACUACAGGACGAAGCAGAAAUAUUUCAACGCCCUAACCACGUCUAUGUUGUAUAACAUAUGCAGAUAUCUCAUGGAUAGGUGUUGAAUGCAUCCUCCUAGCAUUUAUGAUAUUCAAAGAUAUUCCCUUUGCAGCCAGAACUAAAAAUGCACAAAAGACUAACUUCAAAAAUAUUUCUGUUUUUCUUCUGUGCAGGGGAGAAGGGCUUAUGAUGUUCAAUUAUGAUGAAGAACUGACGAUAAUUCAAACAAAGAGGGAGUACUUCUAUAUCACUCAAUUGAAAUUUUCUUCUGCAUCUUUACAUUAAAGAAACUUGCAAACUCUAGAUGUCCAGAUAAAGAAUAUAAAAGUUGACCUAAUAGAGUCUUCCUUUUGGAAGUGGUAGCAUGCUACCUUUUCUCCAACAACAAAAAAAAAAAAAAAAAAAAAAAAAAAAAAAAAAAAAAAAAAAAAAAAUCUUAUAAGCGUAGGGAGGACCAUAGUCGUUCUAACAUCUCCAGUAACAGCAAAUCAUAACUAUUAGGGUGCGUUUGGUUUGCGCUAUCUUUUAAAGAUUCCUAGUAAUCCAAUGGGAAUAAAAAAAUAUGACGGUGUUUGGCUAAAUGCACUAAGUAAUCUAGUUGGUAAUAUUUGAUUCACUUGGAAAUAAGAUUCACCCCAAAGUACUAAUCUCAUUCCCUUGAGGGAGGGUGGGUAUCCUCAUAUUAAUGGAUUGGGGUAAUCAUAAUAUGUCUAAUCUCUUUCUUUCUUCCUACCCGCCGGCUAAUUGAUAUUAUUUUUCUUUACACUCUAACCUUAUAUCUCUCUCUAAACUUAUUUUUCUCUCUAAAAUUCAACUUUUUUUCUCUCUCUAAACUAAGCUUUCUCUCUCUCUCUCUCUCUUUCUAAAAUUUCAACUCUCUCACUCCCUCUAAUUUCGACUAUAUUUUUCUUUUUAUAUUUUUAAUUAUGCUCUCUCUCUCUAACUUAUACUCUCUCUCUCUUUUUUUUAAAAAAGAUGUUGAAACUUUUGGUAACAUUAUCUAAAAUUAAAUAAAUAAAUAAAUUAAUUAAUUGUAUAAAUUUUGUACUAUUAGAUAAAAUGGCUAAUUAAUAUUACCGUGUGAACCAAACACAGGAAUUUCACAUUCUUAGUAAUAGGAUGAAUAGUAAUAAGAUUCUCGGAUAUCUUUUAUUCCUAGUAAUCUUUUACAAUGCGAACCAAACGCACCAUUAAGCUUAAGUACAUAUUCAUCUGUUUUUUAUUAGUUACAAAUUUACAAUUCAUAUCAUACAUUUGAAACAAAGAGACAUCAAAUAUGGUGAAACAUUGAUUCCACUGUUUCAAACAUAAAUCAUAAUACCAUUAGGAGUAAGCUCGAAUUGUCUACGGACAGAAAGAGACACUACAUAAUUCUUAACUUGAUACUUUCAGUGUCAAUAUGUAAUAGCCAUCAAAAAAGAACUUGGGAUACAUGGGAUUUAUUCACAAAUGGAAAGGAGGCAGUAAUAACUAGCAUGGCUUCGGAAGCUAACUUUGAACUUCACUUAACUAAACAUAUUACUAGCUAAUUAUUCUCCCAUAACGUAGUCUUAAGUUGAUAUACAUUUUUGUGCAUACAUCAUUCUCAACCACAUUGAACAGCAUUAAAAUAUUGAACUGCUAAGGCUGUUGUAGCAUCCCAAAAAAAGAUAUGACAUAUUCCAGGAAAAAAAAUCUUUGAUAUGUUCCAGGAAAAAAGAAAAAAAGGUAUGACAAAAUUCAAACGAGGAAGUUGCCUACUGUAAAUCCCAGCAGCAGGAAGCUAUAUAGAAGCACAGUGCACUGCAAAUAUCAGGUGUAAUGAUAAUUUGCAACAUGAAGCUUAAAACCUCAAGUUGCACAAAUUUCUCAAAUAAGCACAAGAAUCAUCCAAGGAUUUGAUCCAUUUCAUAGGCAUAAUAAGAAGUUAAAUUUAAGAAGACAAGCAAUAGGAAGGACAAAUUUUAUACUGGAGGCAUGCCUAAGAAACAUACGAUGUUGAGACAAAAUUUUCAACACAAUGGGUUUCAUUAGGAAUUAGUAAAAAUGACUAGUUAAUCAGUACGAAACAGCAAGACCUUCCCAAGAAAAACUAACAUGGCAAGAAAAUACUUUUUGAGUAGAAAUUUACCUUCCCCCAUUCGGAUCCAAUGCCACUGCAUCUCAUUUUCAAAUGAAUCAUUUUUGUCCCCAACUCUGUUUCAACCUUUUUCCUCAAAUAAAGCUCAUCUGGACCAAAGGAAUCCAGGUAGGUCAUGUAACGUUUAUAUGCAGCUUUUACGGCAUCUUCUAUAUAACCAGGCAAAGGACCCACAUUCUGCAGAAAGUAGCACUUGCUCAUAAUAGCGAAGUAAAAGAGAUAAUGAGAGGUGAGUUGAAAACAGAUUGCAAAUUUUUAUUUUACAAAGACUGGUAAUUAGGGGGGGUGUAAAGUGGCUCGUCACUAAAUGACCUAUAAAUAGAAAUUACAGAAGCAUCCAUAUAUUUUAGCGAAAAUUCAAACCACCAGCUUUCCCAAUAAACAAAGAAGGUAUUGUUCGCAGAGACGAUAUGCACUGACCUCUCCACUUAGGCCACAAAGAUCAUCAAGAGCCAUUCUCAGGGAUACCAGCACACCCCCAAAUUCGACACAAGCCUCAGCUGCUCUUAAGACAUUCUUCAGAGCCUCUUGACCGGCCUUAUCAUCGGUAUUCUUAGAUAGUGCCUUCUUUGCCUCCUCCAAUACGGAAUCCGGAAUUUCAUCCCAACUCAUAGCCAAUAAAUCCUUGAAUGCCACUUCUAUGUCGGGGUCAGCAAUGGUGGGCAAGUGGCUAGGAUUUGAACUAAACAAGCGCUUAAAACCCCAUGGAAAAGGAUAAUUGUAAUCUGAGAUAGAACGAACAUGGGAGACUUUUAGUAUAAACCAAAAUGUGUGGAGAAAGAGUAUGAUAUUGUUAAUGUAAGAGCUAUACAGAGUUUUAACUAUUAGACAAAAAAAAAAAAAUCAAACCCGGUUCAUGUCAAAACUAAUGGUUCCAUAUUGGAAAGCAAAAGAGAAUUGUGUCUUGUACAAAAUCUCUACCUAUCAGCUUAAGCUUAUUGGAUUGGUUCGAGCCCUCUAACAAGUUCAGACUCCCUAGUUUCCGGCCUGUCCAGUGACUGUGAUACUCAUAGCACGUAUAGUUGCUUGCGCCGCAUUCUAGUUGUGCCUAGGCCUAGCAUGUGGAUUGGGUUUGUACGACGUGCUAAUCGCAUCUAACAUGUGUUAAGACUAAUAGUUCCAUAUUAGAUAGCAAAAAGAACUUUGGCCUGUACGUGAUGUAGGUGAUUUCUCCACCAAUCACUUUUAACCCUUUUGAGUUGGUUUGAGCCCUCUAACAGUUCAAAUGAAGUGAUCAAAUCCAAAAAUCCAGCGGCAAAAGGAACUCAUAAAAUAGCUGCGAGGGCAAUAGAAAAAUCAGAUCUAUUUAAUCAUACAUAACUGUUAGAAUUUUAGAGUUGAACUUUGAUUCUACAGCUUCCAACGUUUCGAUUUUCCUUGUCCUCAGGAUCAAUGUCCAUAAGUUCAACCAUCAUUUCACAAAGUAUUUACAAUAACUACCUCAUUUUGAUCCUUCCAUAACCCUAAUACUUGUGUAAGGUUAACAGUCAAAAUCCCUUAGCAUACGUUUGACGAUCCAAUAACUUCACUAAUACAAUAAAUCAAACAAAAAACCCCUUAAUAAUAUAUUACUCUUAUUAACAAACAAUCCACAUAGGUGAUCAAAAGGGAAUUGAUUCUCCCACAUCACCGAAAACCCAAGAUAUAGAGAUAGAGCAUAACCUGAGAUAGGGCGAGCGAUGGAGGGGCUAGGGCGAGAGAAAGGGGAUCGGGCGACGGCGUUGGAGUGUGAAGCGGAUGCGGCUGUGGCGAUCAACGAAUAGCUCGCACGCGAGAGCGUCAUCAGCCUCCGCACGAGGGAGGAUGAGGAGGAGGAGCGGAGCAUCGUCGCCAUUAAUGGAGAGAUCGAAAGCUUCGUGGGGAGGAGGAGAGAGAGAGAGAGAGAGAGAGAGAGAGAGAGGGGUUUUUUUGGGGGAUCGACUCACACUGCCCAUAGUAAAGAGGAAUCUGCGAAAAAACAUGGGCCGUACUGUGGCCCAAAUAGGGCCCAUACCGUUGAAUAAUGGGCCGGAUCCGACCCUAUCCAUUUAAACUAAAGGGCAUUCACUUUUAGCCCGGCCCAUCUAUAGUCUUCGGCUGUACCCGCCCCAUUAUUAUUAUUAUUAUUAUUAUUAUUAUUAUUAUUAAUAGAGAUAAUUGCUUAUAUACCCCUCGAAACUUCAGAAAUAUCUAAUUUAUCCUUUUUUUAAUUUCCAAUAUACCCCUCAUAUGUUCCUCCGUUAUUCAAAAAUAUAUACCUUCGCAGUUAUCACCCGUUAAAUUAUCUCGGGUUAAAUGUAAGUUAAAUAUCUACCAGAAUUAAACAAAUUAAAAUAUCUAUUUUGUCCUUAACUUAACAACAAAUAAGAAAAAUUGGUGAUGGUAGGAGGGUCUAUUUAAAAGGGCAACAUAGUUAUUUUAUAGAAAUAACGGCUAUUGCUAAUAGCUCACUAACAGAAUUUAACUCUAGUGGUAUAUUUGAAAUAACUUAAAACGUAAGGAGGGCAUUUUUAAUAUUAACCUUCUAAAAAUGGUAAAUUAGAAAGUCAGAAACUUUUCAGGGGUAUAUAAGCAAUUGCCCCUUAUUAUUAUUAUUAUUAUUACAAACAUUACACUAACUUUGUUAUACAAUGCUUCUUAGAAUUGUUGCAACUAAAAUUUGAAUAUUAAUUUUUACCAAGUAGAUUCUUUCAUUAAGUUGUUUGUUCAACUUAGAUUUGGUAAAUUAAAUGUAUCAUAUGAACCUUUUCUCUCUCAAAAAAAAAAAAAAAAAAAAGAGAAAAGAGAAAUGAAUGGUUAAACUUUAUUGGAUUAGAUGUACACCUUGUUUUAUAAAUGAAAGUAAAAAAAAGCACAAGGAAAGGUGACAUUCUAUUUUCUCACUAUGUAUCCCUUUAAGAUCCAAGCCAUUUAAUUAUAAAGCCUAUUAUGAUCAAUUUGCACAAACCUAGCUAGAUUCUAGCAUCCUACAUGGUUAGGGAGGCUACUAAGAUUUGGCUCUUUUCAUUGUAGGGGUGACAAUGUAUGCAAAAUUGGAUAUGAAAGAUGCAAUAAUUUGGCAACAAGAUUCGAUUUUAAUCCAAAGUUAUUGAAAUCACAACAUGAAUUGAUCUUAUUUGGACAAAAAAGUAGCUCUAUUAAGUAUUAAACUAUUACCCAAACAUUAGUUCUAUGUAGGAAUUCAACAGUUUGAGUCGCAAUUCAUGAUUAAUGAAAAAAUAUCACUUGCCAAAUUUCGCAAAAAAUUAAGAUACUACAUAAAUAAACAACUUAUUCUGCUUCUCAAUGACCUAGAUGAGCUUGUGCAAAUGGAGAGCAUGUAUAGGAAUGUCAACUUUUAAAUCUCCUACCACUUUCGUGCAUGCGAUGCGUAUACGACGAAAUUUUUAAAGCUUCUACUAGUUUAGCUCCUCAAAGACAUUUUUGUGUCACAUAAAACCUCUCACACAUCAUGCUUGCUUGUCCCAUAUGUACAAUUCAAUGUUUAAUAAUAAUCUUUCACAAGAGGAGGACCCAUUUUUAAUGCAUAGACACACUAGUGUCCUCUUAUGCUAUUUGUGAAUCUUAGGAAAGAGCACAUCACUCAUGAGGAUAGAUGUAUAUAUACAUGACAAGGGAAUAGAUACGUGUCCACAAUCACUAAUGAACCUAAGCUAUACAUAUCAUCAUUAUAAGCCAAAAAGCAUGCAAAGAGCUCCUCACUAGCCUCUCCCUUUGAAUAGUAUACUAACGUUUCUUUCACUUUGCUAACAACAAGCUUCUAAAAAGCUCUAUCAAUUUACUUAACUCCGCAAAAGCUACGCAUGACUCAUUCAUUGGUGUUAAUAGUUUGUUGCAAAAAGAUAGGUUCAAGAGACAGUUGUCAAAAGGCAAGAGGCUUUAUGUUGGCGACUAUGAAAUAUUAAAAUAGAGAUUCUGAGUUCAAAUGCCAUAUCGCACUCAUGGAGUUUAAAGGUUCUACAUUUCACAAACCUUCUACAACCUAUGUACCAUUUUAUGCAUUCACAAGGCUCUAUAUAUGCACAAAACAUGAAAAGGUGACCCUAAAUGGUUCUAAAAGUUUUCACUUAAAAACAGUACUAUAUAUUUCUCGGUCGUGAUAACCAUUAUCGCCAUCUUAAUCCUAGCUUCAUUGUUUCCCUGAGCACUAAUUAAUGACAGCUAGAGUGCACUGUUUAGUUAAAUAAACCACGUCGAUCGCCUAACUCGCAGAUUACAGUACUAGUUUAGCAUAAAGAAAUCAUGUAAACAUAUACUUUAUUUGACCAACAUUGAUACACUUGCAGCUAAAAUAAUUCAGAGGUGGUCCAAUUCAUAUUUCUUUUUUCCGACUUGUAUCUUGCAGGUAAUAUAUUAGUAUCAUUAAUAGAUCAUCAAUUAAAAGAAAAGUUUUCUGAUAACUUUGCAAUCGAACUAUUGUUUCAACUCUAUUUAGUGUUUGAGAAAGAAAAUUAAGGUUUCUUAAAUUUCAGAAACUAUGAUGCCAUAUAUAUAUUACUCCCCAUUUUCUUUAUUAAAAUGAUAAACAUAGCCAGUAUAUGAGAAUACGAUUAGUUUUCCACGAUCAUCGAACUCUGUGCUCUCUGUACGAAAUUGUCGUCUUUGGAUGAGAACUAAUUACAAACAUUCAUGUUUUGGAAGCUAAUUUUAAUAUUAGUCCUAACAACAAACAACUAGCAAAUAAGUCAGUGACAAUUUGGUGUUGUGCAUGCGCGCUUAAUCAAUCACACCCUCUGUUGAUCCCCUCUCCAUGUGAUUAAAGAUCAUGUACUAUUUUAUAAUCGAAUCCGAGUGGUUGGUGUUGCCCCACAUCUUUUUUAAUUUGCUGUAUACAUAGCAUUAACUUUCAAAAGAUACAAGUAUGAGAUACUAGGAAUCCUCAUGAUCACAUAAUCAAUGUAUAACCCAAAAAGGUGAAAUCUGGAAGAAAUCAUUCACUAGCCAAUCGACACCGCGCCAAAUCACCAAUAAACAAUAGUUUAAUUUGCUACGAUAUUCGAUGAUAAUCGAAGUAAAAUGUAUUGGAUCAUUGACCACGCGUAUUUUAAUUGCAAUUUGUAUUAGAACUUGAGGACCAUGAACACGAAAGAACAAGCAAAGAGUAGUCCAAGCUCUUCUAUAAAAAAAAAUAAUGAAAGGAGAGGCAUGAGGAUCACAAGAAAAAUAUAUAAUAGUUUCCUGAUUGGCAGUGUACUUGGAGUGGUGAACAACAAUGUGGGGUUUGAUGAUUAAAUUAUUCUCUCUUCACCUUUUCGCAUUUAAUGCCAAAAAAGGUGUAUCUUUAUGGGCAUAUGUUGAAGAUUUGGGUUGGCUUUGUGACUCUUAUGAUCUGUGAGAUGAAGCUUCUUACUGUUUUUAAAGUUUUUCUCUUCUUAUUUUAAUGGCCAUAGCAUGACCUUGUCAAUAUAAGAACCACAAGUUCAGGUGUUGAAACUGAGAACUUAAACUUGCCUUUGGAUAAAACUUCCACUUUGUGGUCUAUUUGUCUCUCACUUUUUCCUGAUUGAUUCCUUGGUUUUCAUGCAACACUUUGUUGAACAAACAACCCAAAUAAACUCUCCUACUUGUAUACUUUAGUGUCACAUUAAUUGUUUCCGCAAACUUUGCGAACCUCCUACACUCCUCUAUCUCUCUCUCUCUCGAUCUCUCGCUGUGCAUGCGCCUGCACACGAUUCUCUCCUUCAUCUGCGAGAUCAAACGAGGGAGCUCUCGUUUAGUUUUGUCGACACACCACUGCGCGCGGACCAUCUUCUUCUGUGGUUAGUGAAUUGUUUGCUCUUACUUUGAUAUAUAUGUUUCUCAUUCAUUAUGCAUCUCUGGCUUAAUCCUCUUGUAAUCGAACUUGUUCGAUUUCUUUUUUGGUCUUCAUUAUAGUAGUUUAAUUCCUCAAAUUUUCCUUUAAUGAAUGAUGUUAAAAGGAUACAAAUAUGAGUGAGUUACCUAGUUGAUGGGGUUGGGUCAAGUUGGUUUGAUUCAAGCCCACUUUGUAAAUUAACCAACUCUAUAAAUGGUCUUAAUCAUUCAACCAUUCCUGGUAAAUUAAUGCUCCUUAAACUAGUAUGAACACAAGGAACUGUGUUAUGUUGUUUGCUCCAAUAAAUCAUGCUUAAGAAGUAAUUAGUCCAAAAGCAUGAAAGACAAUGAAUGUGGAAUAUAAUCUUGUUUUGUAGUGCCCAUUUCAUCGCAAACGGAGAAUACAAUCUUGUUUUGUAGUGCCGAUUUCAAUGUGUUUGUUUUGACUGCUAUAUGUGUUCUUAAAGUAGCAAAUACAAUUAUCAACAAAGGUACAAUUAAAAAUCAAAUGAGUUAGCAUCAACAAGGUAGAGAGUUAAACUAAACUAAGCAUUUAACUGGCCUAGUUUUUGCAAUAGCUUUGAUAUUUAGAUAAGUAAAAGUUAAGCAUUUGACAAAUAAAAAGUUAAAAUUUCACAAUACUAAGAAGCUGAAUUAAUGAGCUUGUGAAAUUAAUAGUAGAAGUUUUAGCUCGAAGCUUUUGCUUUUGUUUAUAAUAGAAAGAUGAUCAGAGUAUUCUGAAGAGAUUUAUAUAUAGUACUUGUACAAGCAGCUUUAUUCAAAUAGCACUUUAACUUGUAUCGUCAUAGACUACGGUGGGUUCCACCGUGCCCAUCAUAUCCCGCAAUUUGCGCUUCUUUUCUCUUUAACAUCUUCUUAAUGUUUUCUCCUCUUAGAUAUAGUUCAAUUUGAACUUCGUGAACCGUUGACCCAUCCCGGACCGUAACUUUUGUCGUGCCGGGCCAACCUCUGACCUGUUUCGGUCCGAAAAAAUGUGUGCGUGCUCAUAUUACACCAUUAAACCCGACCGAAUCUAAAUUAAUUUUUUACCGUUAGAUCUAUUCCUUUGAUUAUUUCCACCCGGUAGAUCAUACUAUUCAACCAACCACCUACUCAACAAUAGAGGGCCGCUAUCAUCCUAAUUUUUUGUCGAUUUUUUUGUCAGUUUCCCAUUUGAAUAUGAAUUUUAAAAAUCGGUUAGGUUUAGAUUUCGGGUUCGAGCUCGGGCUCGGAUCUUGAAAAAAAUCCACACCGAAUCCGACCCAUUGACAUCCCUAGUUAGGGUCGGGUUCACAUCGGGUAAGAACAAAAUUCAUAUCCGAAUUUAAAUCCAUAUCCAUUUAACACCAAGUAAACGUAGAUCCCCGCUGUUCGGAUUCAAAUUUGGAUAAAAUUUUGGGUAUCCGGCCCAUUGCGUCCGGACACCAUUACCCAUGACUAAUCUUUUCCCCCAACCAAUUCACACAAGAAAAACUAUACCCUUAUUAGGAAUACUUUUAACACAUCCUACUUUUAAUUAUGUUUUAGAUAUUAAUUAGUUACAACUACCCCUAUAAUUAAUUACCUAAAUAAAAAAAUUUCAUUUAAUUACAAAGAAUGCACCCUAACUACAAUCCACUAAUCAUUCACACACAAACUGUGCAUGGUGUUAAGAAUGGUUGUGAACAAUUUCUCUAUUAUAUGUAUUCACCAGCACAUGCUUGCUUCGUGGUCAACGUAAUUAAACUAACGAAUAAGUGAAAAGUUAGGGAUAAAUAAAGCGUGACAUAAUUAUUGGUUAUGAAGAACCCACUUGCAAUUCCCCUUUAGUUAAGGUGCACUUGUGUUUAGAUAUAACAAAGUCAACGUUCCCCAAACUAAAACCAUGGAGAUGAACCAAAUUUUGACCUAAAUCCAAGAGAUGAUUGGAUCAAAUAUGUAAAAUUAGGUUUUGGGUCUAAUUUUUCAAUUGGAUUGCGUAAAAAACACCACUAGCCCAGUAGCUAUUAUUGAAGAUUCUCUUAUCAAGAACAUCUAAAGUUGGAUACUCAAUAAUAUAAAAUUUUCGAAGUGUUUUACUUUAGUCGAUCAAGUUUUCUAAACAGCAUCAUUAUGUUGCUAUUAAAUAUAAGAAAAGAAAAUAAGCCACAUAAACUCAUAAAAUUUAGAGAAAACUUCAAAUACCACCCCUGUGGUUUCACACUUUCUCAUUUUAAUACCAUGUGGUUUAAAGUGUAUCAAUUUAGUGCUAUAUGGUUUCAUUCAUAUCUUUUUAUUAUGAAUUCCACUAAUUUUUUUCAUUAAAUCAGUGACAAAGUUAAAAUUAAAGGGUACUAAAGUGAAUAUUCGAUAAAUCUAGGUUAGAUAUCUAAAGUUUUUUUUGUACAUAAUUUAACGAAAUAUUAACGAAAAAGCUAACGAAAAGAUAAAAAUGAACCACAGGACACUAACUUAAUACACUUUAAACCACAGGGCACUAAAAUGAGAAAGUGUGAAACCACAGAAAUGGUAUUUAAAAUUUACCCUAAAUUUUAGUAUACCACUAUCCAAAUUUUAAAGCAUUGCACUGUCAUAAAACCUAUUAUUUUUAUUUUAUGUGACAAUCACAUACCAAUAACAAAGUGGAACUUAGACUAAAGCGCUGCAUUGGUGUCAGAAAAGAAUAUUGGAAAGGUUUAAUUUUUUUAUAUGAAUGAAAAUUAGAAAAUAAAUUUUUACUAAUUAAAUUACUUGCUAGAAUAGUAUAUUUUGCUGACGAUAUUGUAUAUAUUAUUUUUUAAAAAAUAAUAUAACAGCUGAUUAUACUUUUUAAUCUUAAGAUACAUCAAAUGAAAUAAUCCAAACAAGGUAUAAUAACUUAAGGACCAAAAAUGUAAUUUGGCCUAUACGCGUUCGACCCGAACCAAAUCGAAUGGCUCCAAUUAACCCAGCUCGACCCGAAUACGAUCCAUUAGACCCACGUGUGGGGCCCAACACCUCACUUAUAAAACCACAUGGUUUCCCCACCCCACUACUUGAUUCCUCUAGAAACCACCCCCCCUCCCUCGCUCUCACCCCCGACGCACGAACGCGCUCGAAUCCGAUUCCUUCCUCGCCCGAUUCGAGAACCACGACGACGCAUCGAAUGCGAUGACGAGGACCCGCGAAUCGGGAAGAGGAAGAGGAGACGAAGAAGACGACGGAGGAGCAGCCGCGAGGAACGCGAUCGAUCCGUCGUAAGUACUAACUUCUGAAUCCGUGAAUCGUGAUCGAGAGUUUUCGAAUCGAAAUCGGAUUUUUCUCUCUCUUUUUUUUCCCGAUUUUUUGGGGGAUUUCCGGUGAUUUAAGGUUUAAAUUCGAAUUUAAGGAAGGGAUCGGGGGUUUUAUUACCUUCUGGGGGAGGAGAUCUUUGGCGUGGCGAAGAAGGCGUUGGGGGAAGAGGGAGGACGAGGGUUUCAUUAAUGGCGAGGGAGAGGGUAAAGUGGAGGAGGACGAAACCCAUCGCAUUAUUAGGGUUAGGGUUAGGGCGCGGACGAGGAGAUCGGCGUGGGGUUCGGCUUUUCUCCGCUGAUGUACCGUACGGUUACUGGAUAGCGCCCGUGAUUCGGGUUCUCACCUCCCACUUUUGCAGCGUACGAAACUUUUUCUUUUCUUUUCUUUUUUUUUAAAAAAAAAGUCUCAGAUUCAUCUGGAUUUUUCCAACGUUUAUAAUAGUAGAAUUUUAUCUCCUGUGCGAAAAACAAACAUAAGUGAUUUAGAUAAAAAAAAAAAAAAGUAGUACAUAUUUAUUUACUUUUCUAAUUUUUAUUUUGUGUUACUUUUUGUAUAAACUUAAAAUUUUUAAUUAUUAUACAUUUUAAACUUUUAUUACUAUGAGUAUAAAUAUUUACUUAGCAGUAAAUUUUGAAAUUAUAUUAUUUUUUAAAAAUAAAAGAUUGGAGUGGGGAGAGGACAGGUGCCGGUGAGUGACCGGAUCAUAGGCUGCACCGACCGGCUCUUUUCAGAAGUAGGUCUGACGGAGCUACGCUAGCGCACCAGGCUGUCCGGUUCGUUUUCCGGAGCUGCCAUGCUUUAAAAACGGCGAUUUUAUUGCAUGAGGUUAUUUUUUAUUAAGUUAAAAUGAUUUUAUUUUUUUACUAUAUGAUAAUAAAUUCAGAUGACUAAUAAGUUGAAUUAGAUUGCGGUUCACAUGAGAUUCAACAAUAGACCCAACGUUCAGAUGGAUUGAGUCGGAUCGAAAUCUGUAAACGCUGUGGUUGAGCCAUUAGAUGCGAUUGAUGCGCCAUUUUUUAUUAGCACGUGUUUUUUAGAAUUGUUGGUUGGUUAGCGCUUGUGAUCCACAGAGAUAGUCUAAAUUUUUAGGUUGUUCUUGAUGAUAAGAUAUUUGAUUCGAUAAUUUUUUAUGGUUGAUAUGGUUUACGCUAUUAGAAUUAUCUAUAAACUAAAUUUUAUAAUCAUUUGAUAUUAUUUGUCAAGUGAUCAAAGGUUUCAAAAUUUAUCAUUUUAACGAACGAUGUGGUAUGUUUGUAAGUUCAAUAGUGCCGAACAAUUCAAAUUAGAUAAAAUUUUUUAAAAAAUUUAUAUUUACUGGCAAGAGCCAUGUUAGUACUUCUCGUUUGAAAUUUUAAUUUUUUAUUAUUUUUUAAUUAAAUUUUAUUUUUAGCCGUUUAUUUAAAUACUUGAUCUUACUCGUUAAGACGUUAACUAAUCAAAUAAGAUUAAAAAAUUAAAAAAUUUAUUUUUUUAAAUAAUUUUAAUACCGUAGAUCAUGUAUUAUGUAUAAAAUUGAUUGUCAAAUCAGAUGUUGGACAUGCUCAGCCUAGCUCCUAUAUUAUUGGACCAAUGAGUAGAUAUGAUUAUGAAACCCAUAUUUAAUUUGUCUUUGCAGUUUAAAGAAUUUUUAUUUUUAUUUUUAUUUUUUUUGAGAAAUAAGUAGCAUACUACUCGCUUCGUUUAUUUUAUUUAGAAAUAAACUUAGCUUGAAAUAUGAAUCAACUAGAAUUCGAAUUUGGGAUCUCGGAUACCAACCAUCAAGUCCUUUGCCACUUGCGCUAGGACGGUUGGUAGAUUUUUAUUUUAUUUUUUCAUAGUUUAAAUAGCAAAGUUUUUUUUUUUUUAUUAUUCACAAGAAUUUAUCGUGAGAAGGAUAUUAAAGUGCUAAACUUUAUAAAUUACAAAAGUGAAGUGAUUACUGAUUUCACUCAGCCACGGAACGUUUUAUAAAAUAUACACUUUAUUAGUAAAGUGGUUUAUGAAUUUUUAACAUUUUACAGGGUGGCGGGUCCCUGAAAUGAAGAUAAAAUCACAAAAUAGUAAAGUAAACUCGUUUGGGGAAACCCCCCAAAAAAAACCCUUUUUCCAACUUUUUUUUAUAAUUUUGGGAUAAAAUGUAUACCAUACUUGAUUUGUGUACUCCUUUCUUGUUUUUGGAAACAAUUGCUAAUAGUUGGUUUAUUAGAAUUUGAGGAAAUUGUGAAAGUUCACAAUUCUAAGCGAAAGUUCAGAGCCUGAAUUUUUUUUUUUUUUAAAAAAAAGAUGGAUUGAAGCGUAAAAGAGGAUAAUGCAGGGACUCUUCGAACUUUUUGACCUCCUCUUCUUAUUUAUUCCGUGCUCCGCGUCUUUUUAUCUCGCGUCGCUUAAUAGCUUUUACGGUUCACUGUGAUAUUAAGAGGAGAGAGAGAGAGAGAGAGAGAGAGAGAGAGAGAGAGAGAAGUGAUCUGCGAUAGAUACAUACAUACAUACAUACAUACAUACAUACAUAUAUGUAUNUGCAAUUUGGAAUUGUAGAAUAGUCAAACUGGGGACAUCAAAUCAGAGGCUUUUGAGUUAUUUCAAGUAAUCUUACAUGGCCAGCUAGCAUUUAAAACUAUCUGAUUUGUUUUUAUUUGUCAUCCUACCUGCUUUAAAAACGUACUCAUACGAUCUCAUCAUCUGUAAGGUUGAUAUGUUUAUUGAAUUCUACAUGGCAUCUCGGUACGUGGAUUGCUUGUUUUCACUAAAGGUACAGCUGUACGGAAUAUUUGAGAAAAUGAAUAAUACAUAUUGCAAGUUGGCAUGUUAUGCAUGAAUUAGGAGUGUUUUUUUCAAAAAGAAGAAAAGAUUGUUACACUCAUUUUCCUGUAGUUGUGUUAGCAUUAAUAUCUGUUCCUUUAAUUUUAUGAGUAAUGCUUCUAUGCCUUUUUUUUUUUUUUUUUUUUGGCUGACCUAUUGGUUUUGAUUGGGCUUUUAAGGAGAGUAUAAUUUGGCUCAACUAUAAAUAAAAAAGGAACCUUUUUGUUCUCUUCUGCUGUAGGAGAAUUGAAAACCUGGAGCUGGGAAGUAGUUGGAAGGUGAAAUGCGUUAGCUUUUUUGAAUUUUUCGCUUCUGUUUUCUCUGAGAUCUUCUUUUUGUUCUUUUUGUUCGGCUUCAUGGUUCGUUAUAUUUUGUGGGUUUAAUCCUGCGUUGGGAGGUUUUAGUGUUUUAGUUUUUAUGAACGUAGGAUGGAUUUUAUAUAAUGUUAUGUUGAUUGCUUGUUUUUUUAGGUGGGGUUUUGGGUUUAGACUGAAUGCAAGUUGUAUCUGGCAUUUUUUUUUUCCUGGAGAAAAUAUCACGAAAAUGUUAAGGCUUAUCUAAUUAAGCCUUAAUUUAUUAGUGACAUAGGCCUAGUUUGGUAAUGUCGGGCCAAAAAGUACUAUUUUUAUACUAUAAAAGGCCCAAAAAUUUUAAAAGUGAUUUCAAUUUGAAGCAUUGCAGAAGGGAAUAUUAUAAACACUUGGAUUUUUUGAGCUGUCUAUAGUAUAAAAAUGGUGUUUUGAGCGACCAUAUUAUCAAAUUAGGCCUCUUUCUUGGAAAAUCUGAUAUUUUUAGAUUCUAAAUUGAAGGAGGGGGGUAAAUUGCACUUUUUGUCCUCAAACUUUGAUUUGUUAUAACAUUUCUGGGUCAAACUUUCUCAAUUAUUGCUAUUUGGUCCUACAGUCCAAUUUUGUUGACCGCAUACUAAUCCUAGAAUUGUAUCUUAUGAAAGAAAAUUAUUUUCUUUGAGUCCAGGUCAAUAUGUUCCCAUAUUCCGACCAUGAUUUAUACCAAGAUAUAUACUAUUGACCGCAUACUAAUGCUAGAAUUGUAUCUUAUGAAAGAAAAUUAUUUUCUUUGAGUCCAGGUCAAUCAAUAUGUUCCCAUAUUCCGACCAUGAUUUAUACCAAGAUAUAUUUUUUAUGUUAUUUGCUAAUCACUCCCGCGAUUUUUCUUUGUAUAUUUUGUCAACAAUCUGUACUCUUUAAGGGGUCUUUCUAACUUCUAUGCAUCUUCACUCUGCAUACUUGAAGGCAAUAGGCCUGCUCCCUGAUGUGUAACACUCUAAUUUUUCUUUUUCUCUGUUUAUGUCUAAAUACUGUAUCAGAUGGUUUAUUAAUUGUACGUCAACAAUAGGCCUGUUUCUUACUUAUACAAUAUGAAUUUAUCUCACUUUGUUAUCUUCUUUCUGUUGUUUCUUUUUAUAGUUUGAUCACUGUGGGUUCUGCUCUGACAACCACAAAGGGCAUUAUCAUCAUCGACAAGUGAGGUCAAAUAUCAUAAUAAUUCCUUACAGUCCUUUCCCAAGGCUCUCUAUAGUGGGGUAAAUUGCUUCCUAGAUGAGCUUGAUCAGACAUGCUGAGCCCCAAUGAACCCAAGGUUGAAGGAGAGGAUAUAUUCUAUGAUGCAUUUGACAAUAUCAGAAUUUCCAUCGACUCUUCGUCAUCAGAGGACGGUACUUUCGGCCACAAAGAAGGAGAGCUAAGGAAAUUUGAUUAUUCAUUAUGGACAGGGGAGUUGAUGAGUGUUCAGGAACGAAGAAGCAGAUUCAUUACUGAAGUGGGAUUUGAUGGACUUUUGACUACUGCAAUGAGCCAUUUAUCACAUAGAGAAGAGGGUACAAGUGGUAGGUAUUCAGAAGCCAUGGAGUCCGAGAGAAUUACAAGCAGCAGUGGUGCUGUCUUGGAUUCAUCUUCUUCUGACCAAGAGGUAGCGAAGGAUUGUGCCCACUGUAUAAGGGAUCUCGACAGUGGGAAGAGAUUCAUUGUUCAUGAUGAUGGCGGCAAGCAAGGAUUAAUUAGCAUGUUUAAAGAGGGUGGUUCUGAAAAUUUUAUGAACAUGAAAGAAUUUGAAACCUUAAUUGGGCUCUCACGUUCUUUCCUGAAGUUCUUGAGGAGAGAACUUCCUCACAAAGGACAAAGAAACAAAGGAUGCUCCAAUGCUCUGAAAAAGAACCCCAAACGAUGGUGGAGGAACUUUUCAAAGAGGAGGCAUGCACCUCGAACAUGUGUUUCCGAUAUUCUGCCUAAGAUCACGUCAGUGAAUCGUUUCACGAGAGUUAGCCAUCAGAGGAAGAAGUACAGAGAAUUCACCGCCCUCUACAUGGGCCAAGAAAUUCAGGCCCAUAAGGGUUUGAUUAGAGCUAUGCAGUUCAGUCCAUCUGGAUGGUAUUUAGCAAGUGGCGGUGAGGAUUGCAUCGUGCGAAUAUGGCAGAUUAGAGAAGCAGAAUCAUGCUGUAAAUCAUUUACUUCAGAGGUAUCUUACAAAUCUAUUGAUGGAGUUAAAGAUGUUAGGAUAAUGCUUGGAAAAGAUGGAAAUUCUGCUCCUGUUGUUAUUCCCAAGAGGGUUGUCGAGAUUGAAGAGACUCCAUUGCACGAGUUCCAGGGGCACAAAAGUGAUAUCUUGGAUAUAUCCUGGUCUAAGACUGAUGUGAGCCUCAUCCUCAUUUAUAAAUUAAAUUUGUUAAUUUAUAAGUAUGCACACUAGGAUGCUUUUUCUAUUUGAUUUUCUCUUAUAUUUUAACUUUAUCCAUUUCGUAGUUAUCUUAAGACCAGAUAAUCUUGAGAUUAAUCUCUUAGUUUUUUUCAUUUCAUUCUUAUACUGCUUCUACUUUGUGAAUAUUAAUCUUGGACUUUUGGUUGCAGCGUCUCCUGACAUCAUCUAAGGACAAAACUGUGCGUAUGUGGAAAGUUGGUUGUGAUGGCUGCCUUGCAAUCUUCCAGCACAAGGAUUACGGUACGUACAAAAAUUCUAGGAUAUUAUUCAGAAGUUCGAUGAGAAUUUGCUAUAACUCUUAUAUCCUGACCUUGAUAUGGGGGUGAUGAGAUAAUGCUCCUGCUACCCUCAGCAUUACCCUUUUUUUUAAAAAAAAUUUCAGUAAUAUUGUAGCUAUAAAUCUUUAGUUUGCUCUAUCUUUUCGCCGUGUAACUUAUCAUCAUUUUUCCUUAAUUUCCCCUGGAUUUCAGUGACGAGCGUUCAGUUCAAUCCUGCUGAUGAAAGAUACUUCAUCAGUGGUUCUAUUGACGGAAAAGUUCGAGUGUGGGAUGUCCUAGAGAAUCGGGUCAUUGAUUGGGUUGAUAUUCGGGAUGUGGUAACUGCUGUGUGCUAUCGACCAGAUGGAGAGGUUUGAAUCUGACUACUGUUUUAUUUAUGAUUAAUUUUCAUAUCAUCAAUCUCCCUUCUGAAUUUUGGUUAUUCAUGUCCUCUCGUUUGUGCAGGGUUUUGUUGUAGGUUCUAUCACUGGAAAUUGCCGCUUCUACGACUACUCGGGUAUAAACUCGUGCUUUGCUGAUUUUCUAUUUGGCCAUUGUCAUAUCCUUUUUGGUUUCAAUAUUUUAAGGAUUGGUAGCUGAUUUUACCUUAUUUUCUCAUUUGAUUUGUACCAGUAUUUUAUGUAUCUCUAUGCAUUCUCUAUAUCUCUUUGUCUAAGUGUUAAUGAAUUGUAUCAUAAUAUUUAUUACCUUUUUGUCCUGGAUAUAGGUGAAAAUUUGGAGCUGGACACACAACACUGUAUUAAUAAAAAGAAAUCUGCUGGCAACCGAAUUACUGGCCUGCAGGUUAAUUGUUAAUUUUGUCUUUCUUUUUAAUAAAUAAUUUAAGGUGCGGCAUCUUGGAAUUCUUUAAUAUUGUUUGAAGCGAUAUGACACCUUAUUCAGAUUUGGAUUUUUCUGUAACAUUCAACAUUUCAAUUAUUGCAGUUCGCAUCAGAUGAUUCUGAGAGAGUAAUGAUCACAUCCGCUGACUCGAAGAUUCGACUAUUUGAUGGGGUCAAUGUCAUAAAAAAAUUCAAAGGUGGAGUGCAUUAUAAUUACCACUUCUUCAAAGUUUUCUGGUGGCUUAUAAAAAUUUAUUUUACUCACCGAGAGAUCUUCUAUAGUGUUUUAUAAAAAAAAUCACUGUGGUCCUUUUUUGUUUACAACUUACGAUCUUAUUGCUUUUUAUUACAUUAUGCAGGUCUCCGAAAAGCCAAGACUCUUUCGCCUGCGUCAUUUACACCGGACGGCAGAUAUAUAAUCUCGGUCGGCAAUGAUUCCCAUGUUUACAUAUGGAACUCAGAUGGAUCUACGAGCCCCUGUUCCAAAGUAGACGAAUCAAUUAAUACACGCAGCUUGAUCAAACCUUCGUCGAAGGGACCCAAAUCAAUUGAUUCGUUCGAAUCCUUCGUCUCCAAAGGUGUUUCAUUAGCAGCUGCGUGGCCUGGAGUGGACAAAAAAGCGGGAAACGACCGAAGCAAAAGCUCCUUUGAUCCAUCCUCCAUCCCGAAGAGAAUCUUAGAGCCGUCGACCUUGCUCCGAGACCCGGACUGCUUGUCCCUCGGUGCUUGGCUAUUUUCCAACGGCCUGUUGAGGGGAACCGCGACAUGGCCGGAGGAGAAGCUUCCUCCGCCGUCUGAUUUGUCGUCGAUGGCCGACGAUUGCAGCCUUCCCCAUCGGUGUCUUGCUUCUAUGUCGGCGUCGUGGAACAGCGUCAUAGCGACUGCGAGUGACGAUGGGAUUAUCAGGGCUUUCCAUAACUACGGAUUGCCCGUUAGGUUGUGAAAAUGUGCAUCAGAACCACCGCAAGGGCCUUUUCCAAUUAUUUCGAAAAGAAAGGAGGGCCGCAGUUUGCUAUUUUUGCACUGUAACAUCCUUACAGUUUUUUUAUUUGGGUUUCAGCUCAAAUUUGAAGGAUCGAUGCUGCGCGAAAUUUUUAGCAAAUGGAUUCAGCAUAAUAUUAUUUUCUCCAGGAAACAAGAAGAGCAACAUUACCGGCAAAAGAGUUACAGGAAACAAAAGUGACCCAAAAGGGAUAAUUGGGAAUUUUGCUUAUUGAAGUAGGGAUUAUGAAAAGGACACGAGAGAGAUAAAUAGAAGGAAUGCUUUUAGCUGCAAGUGCAGUUGUUGUUGUUGUUGUUUUUUUGUUUUGUUUUUUUUUUUUUUUUUUUUUUUUUUUCUGGGGGGGAAGAAAAUGCUCUGUGAAUAUCUAUGUUUCCAUGGCUGUUGUUGGACAGGAAACUUUGUAAUCGCCAUGUUACAUGAAGUGAUAUCUGUUUUAUAUAUAUUAUAUGGUUUAAUGCACAUAUUUAAUCAUUUAAAUGUAUUUAAUUGAUUGAUAUAAUUCGAUAUUCAAUGUUCUCUCAACUGUUUAUCAGAAAGAGAUGCUACGUUGGGAUCUACUUUUUUUUCACUUGUACCUAAUGUGGAAGCUUUUUAUGAGAUGCCGCAAAAGCUGUGAUAAUGAAAAUUUUCUCUUUUUAGCUUUUACUCCUGCAUAGAGGAGGUGGGUGUGUGGUCCUAAAUUUAUAACAGGACUUUUUUGCAAAUAGUCUCCUUACAAUUUUUUUUUUUAAAUUGGCCUUGUUAAAAAUUUAUUUACAAAAAUGACCCUGGCCUCGUCACGCAAGCGCCACGUCAGUACCACGCGGGCGAGGCCAGGCGAGAGGGUUAAGUUGAACACGGUGAACCAUUCACCGUGUUCAAUACAAAAAGUUUUUGUAUUGGACACGGUAAAUGAUUCACCGUGUCCAAUACAAAAUAUCUAUGAUCGAAAUAUUUGUAUUGAACACGGUGAAUCAUUCACCGUGUUCAAUACAAAUAAUUGGACACAGUGAAUGGUUCACCAUGUCUAAUAUAAAUACCUCCAACUUAAUCAUUGUUGGGGUAUUUGUAUUGGACACGGUGAAUUGGACACGGUGAAUCAUUCACCGCGUCCAAUACAAAAAUCUUGUAUUGAACACGGUGAAUAGUUCACCGUGUUCAACUUAAAUAUCUGGGCCCGCCCUGCCCGCGUGGUGCUGACAUAGCGCUGGCGUGGCAGGGACAAGGUUAUUUUUGCAAAUAAUUUUUGGACGUGGCUAUUUUUGUAAAUAAAAUUUGUCAGGAGACUAUUUGCAAAAAAAGCCCAUAACACAUGUUCAAAACUUCGUUAAAUUUUGGUCCUACGUCAACUUAAUACAAAAAAAAAAAAAAAGAUAAACGAGAGCUUUGACAAAUUUAGUCUCCUCAACUAUAUUUUGAUCUACUUAUCUUUUUGACCAUUGGUUGUUUUCUUAUGCUGUUUUAUAGUUACUUUUUUUUUUUUUUCUUUCUUUCAAAUAUAGAUAGAUUACUCCAACUAAUGCAGUCCACUUUCUAAAACAAGUAAUUAAAAAUGCAAAAGUAAAAAAAAAAAAUUGAAAAAAAAAUUGUAAGGGUUUUUUCCACUAGAAAGCGGCUGAAAUUUUUUUUAAAAAAAAUAGAAAUUCAAACUCCCAAUUUCUCAAGUAAAAUAAUAGUGCGUAUUUUUUAUGAGAAUUUACGAAUUAAUUUGUAGACGUUCUAUUUCUAGUCAAAGUUAACGGUUUCCCUCCUUUGUUGACUCUGAUUUUUCUAUUAUCUUUUUUUUUGCCCCACCAACUACUUGUUGCCAAUCAAUAUAAUUUUUUAUCUAUAUACUGUAAAAUAAAAAAACAAAAUACAAUUCAAUCCCAUUGCUUGCACGUAACUAUCAAGGUCAUAUGCCAACUUAGGUUACCAAUUUUUAUCUCCUUCCACUAAAUUUAUGCUCCCAUAUAGUCAAUGGCAUGUAGAUUAUUCAAUUAAAGAGAAAACGAUGCAAAAUCUAAAAUAUUAUUCAUAUUUUCUUUAGUGAAAAUUUUCAAAACCCCCCAUGUGGUUUCAUACUUUUUCAUUUUAGUAUCCUGUAGUUUAAAGUAUAUCAAGUUAGUACCCUGUGGUUUCUCACUUUAUCAUUUUAGUACCCUGUGGUUUAAAGUGUAUCAAGUUAGUACCAUGUGGUUUUGCACUUUAUCAAUUUAGUACUCUGUGGUUUUAAUUUUGUAUAAAAUUAAUACCCUAUGGUUUUUAAACCACAGGAUACUAAAGUGAUAAAGUGUGAAACCACAUGGUACUAAAGUGAUAAAGUGAAAAAUCACAUGGUACUAACUUGAUACACUUUAAACUACAAGGUACUAAAAUGAUACAGUGAGAAACCACAGGAUACUAACUUGAUACGUUUUAAAUCAUAUGAUACUAAAGUGAAAAAAAUUGAAACCAUAAGGAAUGUUUUUGUAGUUUUCCCUUUUCUAAAUCACAAAUAGUCUCGUACAAUCAUCAUUUCUUUUUUUAUUAUUUAAAAUAUCGAUAAUUAUUAGAGUAGUUGAUAGGAAUACUUAAAAACUUUACGAUAAAGAAUUUAGUAUGUAAAGCCAUGGGGAACAAAUGCGAUAUUUAUUUAUUUAUUUAUUUUUGUAUAUAUUUAUAGACACGAGAACACUUUUGUAAUUGCCAAAUUAGUGCUAGAUUUGGUUAUCAGGUAACUUUCUCUUUUAAAGCAAGCAUCAUACGAAAGUCUAAAUUAAGAGUUUUACCUCUACUUGUACAUAAUAUAAGCAUGUUAGAAAACAAAUACCAAAAGGGAAUUAUUUGCCUGUGUGCGCUUUCUCAAAUAACGUUUAUUUAUAAUACCGACUGUCUCUAGCGUAACUGAUAAAAGACUUUGUGGUUGAUACCCGAAGUUUCAAGUUCGAAUCCUAAUUGAUUCAUAUUUCUAGCUAAGUUUAUUUCUAAAUUAAAUAAACGAAAUGGGUAACAUGCUAUCUAUCUCUAAAAAAAAAAAUUGAUUAUAAUAUUAUAGUGUUCCAGAGGUUUGGAUNACACUACUCAUUUAAGUUUUGGUAAAAAGGUAUAGAAUUUUUCUGCACUAUAGACUAUUUUGAAUCAGUUACCAAACUUUUCAAAUUUUUAUUUUACUAUCCGAUCUUUCAAUUUGUUUGAUUUGAAUCAGUCGACGAUACUUUAACUUUAAAAUUUUAAACUAAUUACUCGCUUUAAUAAAUUUAUAAUUAUAAAAAUUACAUGAAGUGUAAGAAGAAAUGUCGCAUUAAAAUUUUAAAGCCAAGAUGUUAUUGACUAAUUCAAAUCAAAUAAAUUAAUAGAUUAGACAUUCAAGACUACACAAAAAAAAAGACAUUAUAGUAAAAAACAAAAGAGAAUAAUAAAAUAAUGAACAAAUUAAUACAAUCAAACAACAAUUGUGAAAAAAAAAAAAAAAAACGUUACAUAAUAAUUACAUAAGCUGACAAUGUCUAUGGUCAAAAAAAUUAGGGACAAAAAUUUCGUGGACAUCCGUGCCCAAACUAUUUGUUUGGGCACGGAUGAGAAUGGGCGCCGCGUGGUGUGCCGCGCCCAUCGCAACAGUCCGAAAGAAAGAAAGAAAGAAAAAAAAAAAAAAAAUCAGGGGCCUCCAUUUUUUAGAAAGAGAGAGAGAGAGAGAGAGAGAAAGGGGAAGGGGCGGUGGUGAUGGGCGCCGCACAUCACGCUGCGCCCAUCAAACAAAUAGUUUGGGCACAGAUGUCUGCGAAAUUUUUGUCCAAAAAUCAAGAGCCCUACCAACAUCAGUCCUCUCUCCUCAUUCACAUACGCUGCUGCAUACACAAAACAAGGCCGGCCGGCAAAACAAAAUUUAAUGGGGUAGUUUGCUGUCUUCACGUGGGCCCCACCAUUUUUAAUAAUAAUAAAAAAGAAAUAAUAGUAGCAGUACUUCUCUUCUCGCACGCUGCCGUCGCCUCCUCCUCUUUCUCUCGUCCUUUUAGGAUAUGUCUGGCUUCAUUUUUAAUUUUAUUUCUGGCUUCACUUUUAAUUUUAUUUUUACUUAUAAUUAUCCGUGCUCUUGAUAAAAUAUUUGAUAAGUAAAAAGAUAAAAUUGAAAUUUAUGAUUCGGUUGGGUAGAGAGAAAGUAUCGGUGUAAUCUUUUAUAGUAAUUUUCUAUUCACUUUAUUUAUUUUAUUUAAAAAUAAAUUUAGCUGGAAAUAUGAAUCAACUAAAUUCGAACAUAAGAUCUCUUCUUUUGCUAUUUAUGCAGGGAAUGAUUAAUUUUUUUUAGUAACUUUCGAAUGUACAGAUAGUAAAUUUGAAAAAAAAAACAAAAAAUUGAUUAUAUCAGGAGGAAAAGAGAGAGAAAGAGAGAGCGAAGAAAAUGAGAAGGUAGAUGUAGGGAGGAGGCAGGCAGGGGCUAAAAGGGAUCGGGGAAGUGAUUGAGGAGAUCCCAGAAGGCACCUGGGGAGGGGAUGGUGGGGGUGGAGAGCAGGUGCUGGCUGUUUCCGGGGCUGGCGAGCACCAUGCCGCUGAGGACGGGGCUGAGGUCGCCGAGGUAGCCGAGCACGCUGGGGUCGAAGCCCAGCGAGGGCGACGCCAGGAACAAGCUCGGCGAUAUCGGCUGCAGCGACGCCGGCCCCGGCGACAGGAUUCCGGGGAAGAAGCAGGACGACGAGUUCGUCCCCAUCCCCCCCGCCGCCGCCGUCCGCCCCGUCAGCAAUUCGACGUCCGCACCCCCCUCGUCCUGCUGCUGCUGCAACAUAUAUUGCUGCCGAUGAUGCAGCGGCCGCGGAGACGCUGCGGCGGCGGCGGCGGGCGAGAGGAGGAGGGUCGUGGUGGCUUCUGCUUCUGCUGCUGCUGCUGCAGUCGUCGACGGAGCUGCUGCUGCUGCGGUGGAGGAAUAAGAAGAGGAAGAAGAAGUGUCGAGGGAGUUGCCGGUGAGGCGCUGGACGAGGGACAUGAAGUCGGAGGGGGUGGUGUGGAUGACCUUGGGCGACACGGCGUAGAUGAUCACGGGCGAUCGAUGAUGGUGUUGGUUUUGGAUUUGGCUUUGGAUUUGGAAUUGGAGAGGUUGUUGGUGUUGAUGUUGUUGAUGUUGGUGAGGAGGAGGGAGAGGGAGAUAGGGGUGGGGGUUGGGGAAGAGAGGGGGCUUUUUGGCGAUCUUGUAGGAGUCCUUGCUGACCUUGAGAGGGGAGGGGCGGGGGGCCUGCAGACUCCAGCCGCGGGACGGUUUCGCACUCCGGUACGCGGGAGGACUAUCCUGGCUGUGCUGCUGCUGCUGCUGGGUCCAUGUGCCUCUCGAUCCCUACUGCACCACCCGGUCUAGAGAGAGAGAGAGAGAGAGAGAGAGAGAGGGUCUUCUAUAUAUAUAAAGACAGAGAGAUGUACAGAUCUUGUACUCUUGUACUCUUUCUCUCUCUUCUCUUCUCUUCUCUUCUCUUCUUCUUCGUUGGGGUUGGGGUUGGGGGGAAGGGAUGAGGAAGGAGGUGUUAGAGAGAGAGAGAGAGAGAGAAAAUAAUAAUGAAGAGGCCAAUUUGGGGGAUCAGGAGAGAAAGUGGGGGGCGGGGGGGGCGUGAUGAUGAAUUGAUGAUGUAAAUAUUUUAGAAGAGAGAAGACGAGUCAAUGGACCGCCUACUGCGGAAGGAAAAUUCUUUGAAGCUCCGGUUGCGCCAUGUUUGGCACCCACCCGUGCUACGUGGCACCUUGUGAUUGGGUACACGAAAACACAACUCUGGAGUUAAUGUAUUAUUUUCUUUAUACAGAUAAGGAGAGUGAGAGAGUGUGUGUUUACUGUUCGUUUAGGCCAGGAUAAUUCUGGGAGUAGAAAAUUCAUAUGUUUUUAUCUUAUAAUAAAUUGAAAUUUUAUAGAUCUUUUUUUUUUUUUUUUUCCAGAGAACUCAUUAUAGCUCUUUUUUCUUGCUUCCUACAUCCUCCACCACCUCCUUCCCCUAGAUUCCACUGCCGAUACUCACGAGCUCUCCCACUCCGUCAACCGAGCGCCCUCCACCUCCCCGGUACCCUCUGUCACGGCCGUCGCCCUCCCCAACCACUCCGUCAUCUAAGCCCCUCUUCACCUCCGCAGCAUCCUCCGCCGCCGCCCUCCCCGCCUCCGGUGAAUUUUUCGUGUUGAGUUGUCACGACGAAGGGUGACAAAGAAGGUAGGAGGGACGGAGAGGUGGUGGGUUUAAGUAAGAAGGAGAAUAUGGUAGAGAUGAGUUUGAGCUAGAAAAAUUAAAGUGGUGGUAGUGGAUUUUUUUUUUUGGCUAAAUUACAGAAAGCUUUCCUGUCAAAAUUCGAUUUUUUACUUUUCCUUUCUGUCAUUUAAAAACAUACACUUUGCCCCCUUGUAAAAUAAAAAAUGUUCAUCAGGGGCUACGGUGUGAACUGUGAUGACAAAAUGAUUAUUUUGCCUCUCACCAUUUUACCUCUCACCAUGUUCAUAGGAUAGAAGACUGAGAGCAUUUUUAACAUAAAAAAUAUAUAAUAAUAUUUUAUAAACGAACCCUAACGGAUUACUAAUGGUAAAUGGUGGAGUAAAUAUUUUUCAUUUUAAAAUGGAGCAAAGUGUAAGUUUUUAAAUAACAAGGGGGGAAAAUAAAAAAUCGGGUUUUGACAAGGGAGUUUUAUGUAUUUUAGCCUUUUUUUUCACAUCAAAUUAUUUUUUUUUUGGAUUUGAAUUAGACACUAGAAAACAGAGUAAAAAAUUAUAGAAUUUAAAUAUAAAUUUUUUGUUUUAAAUUUUUACAGUUGCCUAACUAAUUCUUAGUUGUAGGGAAUCUAAGCACAGCUAAUAAUUGAUCCAGAAAGAAAAAAAAAAAAAUUGCCCACUCAAUGAGAAACUCUAAUGGUUAAUGGGAAAGAGAAAAUGAGCAUCUACAAAGAUGCUUUGACAAAUUAACUUUUCAAAAGGUCCAUCUCUUUGAAUGGGAUAAAAUAUUUUGCAAACGAAAAUAAAUGGGUUUAAUCUUUCACUAUCAAAAAGCAUCUUUUUCUGGAAAACAUACAUACAUGUAAGUUGGGAUGGACAUAUCAUGCUUGGUUUCAAGCUUAUUUAUUUUGGCUUAUGCAGUAACACUUUUUACAUAUGAUAUAAAAAAGGCCAGUAUCUUACAUUUUAAAUUAAUGUUUUCCAAUCACAAAACAACACUGAGAUCAGUUCAAGGCUAAUUUUUUUAAAAAAAAAGAUUAUUUUUUAUUUCAAGCAUCAUAUGGCAAAGAAGAAGAUCAGUUUAAGGUUUUAUUUAUUCAAAAGACGUUUAGCGCUUUUUCUACUUUGAUAUCUCUUCGACAGUGAUUUCAUCACUAUUUCGUAUAUCAGCGAAAAGAGCAUGCUUAGCUUUUCUUUUCUUUUUUUUUCUUUUUACGGAACUUAUAAACGGUGAAGCUAAUAUAUUUGAGCAACAUAUUUUCAAACAAGGCCUAAUAUUAAAACUAAACCAAUUUUCCUUAUCUACCGUUUUACUUUUCCUAUUUAGCCAAAAAGCAACAAAACUUUUACUAUCUAUUUCUCAAUUUGUUGAAUUGUCAUAUUUGUGAUGGCCAGAGCUUUCUCUCACUUUUGUUGCCCUAGGUUCAAGGGAACCACAAGUCACAAGUGGAACUACUUGCAUAUAAUCCUAAAAUUAUUGGGUAUCACAAUUUACUUCUCUCACCUAAUUCAAUUCACCAAUUCAUAGACUUUUUUUUCAAAAAUAUUUACACUUGUACUAAUUACAACAUAAAUUAAUGUAAAUUGGCCUAUUAGCUCAGUUGGUUAGAGCGUCGUGCUAAUAACGCGAAGGUCGCAGGUUCGAGACCUGCAUGGGCCAAUAAACUAUCUUUUUAUUUUUUUUGAGGGCUCGGCCCGUAAGUAUUUUAACUGGGUUGAGUUUGACGAGUUCAGAUGUUUUUUUUUUUUUUUUUUUUUUGAGAAAAAAGUAGCACGCUACCCGCUUCAUUCAUUAAAAUGAUGAACUCAGCUACAGGGGUGAGGCAACAUGGCCUCAUGGUGAGGGCGAAAAAAAAAAANUACAGUUUAGGGUUUAGGAUAUUACUGUCGAUUAACGGUUACCAACAAGCCGCCGAUUAGUUGAGAAAAAAAUGCUCCCAAAGAUACGUCAGCUGUUUGAUCUUGUUAACGGCAAGGAUAGGGUCCGGCUGGGAAUUCCUAAAAAUCAUGGCAUUUCUGACUUUCCAAAUUACCCACCAGCAGGCUACCAACCCGGUUAACCUGGAGCUCGCCGACGAGUCCAGAUAUUUAAAACACAUUUUUGAUAGCUUGAAAUUUUAGAAAUAAACAAUAUCACCACAUUUCUGAGUUCCUACACUAUUUACUGUAAAAACUGGAACUUAAACUAAUUAAAUUUAAGCUCAGAUUUGUAUUGUUGCUAAGGUCAAAUGCAUUUAUUAUUUUUUGAAAAAAAAAGGACAAAUAAAUUAAACUUAAUUGGCCAUGAUAUCACUUUCCCUCAUGGUAGGUAGGGUAUCCUCAACGUAGAGAAACAAUUUAGUUGUUCAUAUGUGGAAAUGUUAGAGGAACCUUGUCUCGUAUAAUUUUUCUAUUUAAUAACAUUCCUAUGAUCAACAUGGCACAUUUUUUUUUAUGCAUUUAUAGAUCUUACCAUAUAGUUCACUCAAAAAAAUAAAAAAUAAAAAAAAUUAAGGGGGCACCCUUUUUCUUUUAUGAGGAGUACUAGGAUUACAAAAAAAAAUGAGAUAAAUCGAUAGUUACUAAAUAAUAUAGUCAUUAAAUUGGAUUUAAAUUUUAACAUAAUAAUUAAAAAACUAGAAUUUGAGAGGUUUAUUUCAAAAUAGCUUACAGUGUAGCAGGUCUCUAUUUAUUUCUAAUAUUUUCUUAAUCCAAUCCAAGACCAAUUCAUUAAAGAAACAAUUAUAUUCACAUCCCAACACCAACUAAUAAAUCUUUUUUUAAAAAAAAUAAACAUCAAUUAUAUUAACUUAUUAGUUUCUCAAAUAUUUAAUUAUUCUAUCAUUUUACAGCUUUAUCUUUUUUUUUAAGGUUGCUUAACUAAUAUUCUUUCGCUCACCAACCACCGCUCCCUCAGCUAAACCGGAUAUAGACCCGGUCCACGGCUCAGAGAAACUAUUGCCUGCGCCGUCCCGGUUCAGACGUGGACCGAGUUCACCAUCCGACGUGGCAAAACGAACCGGCUUUGGGAUCUUGCACCGGUAACUGCCAAAAUGUGAAAUGACAAAUAUACCCUCGCGAACCCCUCGUAUUCCCGCAUCCUUAUUGCUAAACGACUGAGGGCAUAAUCGGUAAUCCACUUACCCCACGAGACGCAUCAUUUUCCUCUUCUUCAUUGCGUCUAAAUUUCGCGCUUAGUCGCCUCUCUCUCUCUCUCUCUCUAAAUCGCCAUUGACGAAGCUCAAAACCCUAAUUCCCAAAUAGAAAAAAGCUAAAGGAAGAAGCAAUUCUAUAUAUAGAUAUAUACACAUAGUGGAGGAGGAGGGAUAUAUACAUAUAUAUAUAUAUAUAUAUAUAUAUGUAAGGAGAGAGGUGUACACGGACUCAAUCCUCAAUAAGAAGAAGAAGAAGAGGAAUCAGAAGCUUCCCCUGCUAAGGAACCCUAAUUUUCGAAGAUGUUGGGGGAAGUCCUUACCAAAAUACUUGUGUAAGGCCUCUUUUUGCUCUCGAUCUCUUUGUUUUGGUGUUGAUCUUAUGGUCUCUUCAUUGAUUUGUUGUUUGAUGUGUGUGUGUUGUAGGGUUUUGUUCGGGUAUGCGUUUCCGGCGUUUGAGUGCUUCAAGAUGGUGGAGCAGCGGCCCGGCGAGAUCCAACAGCUCCGAUUUUGGUGCCAGUAUUGGUAAUCGAGAAUUUGAAUCCAUUUCCUCCUUUAAUUGGAAAAAAAGGGAUUUUUUGGGUCUCUGUUUUAGGUUUUUUGAGUUCAUUAUAGUUUGUGAUUGGUUUAGUUUUACUGAUUGCUGAGUUUUAUGAAUUUAAUAAUCAAACAUAUUUAGAUCAAAAGGAGGAGAUGUUAAAUGAGCUCUGUGAGCAUUAAAUUUUGUUGGAGAUUUGUUGAAUAAGGAAUGGGAUGAGAUGUGCUUGAUGAUAUGCUUAAAUGAAGAAGUCAAUUUUGAUGGGCUUAACUUGGGGGGGCCAUGCAUGAAUUGUUUGAUAUAUUCUACUAAAUUUCUAUUAUUAUUUUUUUAAUUAGUGGGGACUAGUCAAUUUAUAGAGGAGACAGGUCCUAUUAAAUCUCUCUUUGUUUGCCUUGUUGAGACCACUUGAUAUCGUUUGUACACAUUCAGGACCAAUUCCAUCACAUGUACAAAUCCAAUUAGAGGGUUCAAAGAGUAUAACAAGUUGAGGAUAUUGCACAUGAUGUAUUGGCUUAAGCACAGGCUGAAUUUUUAUUUUGUUUCCUAGGGAGCUGUUUGGAAACCAGGAUUCGAAUGGAUAGGAUAAAAUAUGAUAGAGAUGUUGCGAAAAUAGAAGAAUUUAGCAACUUAGAGGCAAGUUGUGAGAUGUAAGACUCUCGGAUUAUCAAAUUGGAUAAUCUUGUUUCGAUGGGAUUAUUGAGUCUCAUCUGAGAGGUUGGGAUUGAACUAGGUCGGAUCAAACCCUUCUCCGUCGUGGCUCCUGAUGCCUUCGAGUUGUUAAAAUCGCUUCUAAUUAGGUCUCUUAAGGUUAGUUAUUUGCAUCUCCGAUGGCUAAUAAGUAGAAAUAACAUGUUAGGGAACUAGAAAAUCGAAGUUUGUGAGCAAUAAUGUCCUCAUCCCAGGUCAUUGUCAAUAAUGGUUGGUGCAAUGCAUACUUAUCAAUUAUUUAAACUACAAUGCAGUAUGAGUUUUUUAGGCAAUAAAAGCUUGUUUAGAUUUUUCCAGUUCAGUGAGGACAAAAUAUUGUAUUGAAAGCAGGUAAUUAAAAUUUUGUGUCCAUUUUUUUAUUACUUUUUCUUUGUUUUCCUUGUUGUAUUCAAUUAGGCGACUAGCCCUUGUACACUUCAAUAGAAUUGGUCUAUCAGUUACUAUCAACAAGUGCCCCACUUAUGUUUAAAGAAAAGCCUAAAAUUGGAGAGAAGCGAUUCUGAACACUAGCCUCUAUGCUUGGGCACAAAUUAGAGCAUGGAGAGUAAAGCCAUCAUAGUAACAUAGGUUGCUUUCAAUAAGCAUUUCAGACAAUGUGUGUUUGCCCUUUUUCAUUGAACUUCGAUGUAAAAUAGGUUCACAAGGGCUUCUGUUUAGUAUCUAAUAAGAUUUUUCAUUGAACUCACACGUUGACACAUUUUAGGAAAAAGUUAUUAGAUUAGACUAAGGCUUUGCGAUGAGUUCAACAUGUUAAACCCCGAUUAAGGUUUCAAAAUAACUCUGUUUCUCUAUAGUUUAACAGUUAGCUAGAUUUGUAGUUCACUAAUGAGAGACAGAGAAGUAAAUGGAGAUUAGGUUCGCUUAUUGCUGAUUUUUAAUCGGAUAGAGAAAUCACUAUUGUAAGUUGACAUAAUUGGUAGGUAGAUCGGAAAGAAAAGCAAGCAUAAGAUGCUGAUAUGCUUACUGCAAUGUCACUGCUUGACAAAUAUAUAAAUACUUGAUUAUUUUCUCUGCUAUGUCACAGCUGUUCUAUGAAUGUAAGUAUUUAGAUUUAGCUUUCAUGUUCCUGUCUCUUUUAAUAACAUAAGUUUAAGAAUUUUGAUUGAAGGUGACUCUAGCGGGAGUAAUGAACUUCAUAUGAAUGUAAACCACGCUCUUCUUCACAUCCUUGUACUAGUGAGGACUUUUGAAUGGCCAGCUCUGAGAACAUGUGUACCACUUUAAUAUUACCUAGUCCGGUGGAUGACUUAAUUAUAGACUCAUUAUAUCAGUUUUCAUUUUGAUAGCUCUGAGAUUGGAUAAAAUCACUAUAUAUAUUGAAACAUUCUGACCAUAACAUUGAAUUUCAGGAUCAUAGUAGCAAUUGUGACAGUCAUCGAGAAACUUGCAGACACAGUUGUUUCAUGGUAAUGAGUAACAAUAAUUCAACUUCUUAAUGCUCGUUUUCUCUCAUCAAAAGCAUUACCGUUAUGUUCCCCUUAUUUUCUAUGAAAGGGUGCCGAUGUAUGGAGAGGUGAAGCUCGCCUUCUUUGUGUACUUAUGGUAUCCAAAGACAAAGGUAACCCCAGCUAAACUCGACCAUAGACCGAGCAUGCAUCGACCAACUUACUGAUUUUAAUGCGAUUCCUUUUUUCCAUCAGGGAUCUGAUCUGGUCUACGAGACGUUCCUGCGACCAUUGGUGAUGCAGUACGAACCAGACAUUGAGCAGAGACUGCGGCAUUUGAGGGCUAAGUCAGGGCAGCUCAUCAUGUUCUACAUUAAGAAUUUCAGCGACAAAGGAACCACUCUCUUCCUCGAGGCACUCAACUAUGUGGUCUCUCAGGGUUCGCGAGUUUCGCGCUCUGAGGUAAUUUUAAUUUCAAUUUUUAAAUCCCUGCUGGUUAGUUUGCUUCUGAACUAGCAUGCGCAAUUUAUGUAGCGUAAGAUAGGUGUGCAUGGACCAAACUAAAUGGUUAGAUUAGAUCUGAUUCUUCUUUGUUUUCCAUAGGAAAAGAUUUUACGAUAAACUAACUGCAAUUGAAACAGAGAGUUUGGCUACUAAGGAUAUAUAUCGAAAAACAUUGUUUUAUUACUAAAGCUGCUUCUGUAAUGUAGAUUCCCAAGUUCAAAAUUUAAUAACAUCCAUGUGAGUUCAAAAGCAAAGAAACCGUUGUAGCGGUUGCUGCGCAUGAAUAGAAUGCUGUGAGCCAAAAACUUGUACUUGCUCUCUACUAACUUCACAUAUGCUGCUGCAUCUCAAUCUCACAGAGCUUCUUCUCAAGGAGCAAACGGUCGGCAUCGAGCCCCGUGGCGACCAAGCACUCAUCGACGGCCUACGACACACUGGGCUCCACAGCCGACGAUGUGGCCGCCGCCGAUCCCCACGCCGGCCGUCCCAAACAACGGCGACCGCCAUACAAGUAUUAGAAAAAAGAUUACAAAAAUCUACUAAAGUGAAAAAAAAAGAAAAAAAAGAAAAAAAAAGAAGAAGAUAGUAGAAGAUUGAAACCAAUGUGAAUACCGAGAUAGUAAUGCCACAGAUGAACUGCAGUUUGUUCAGUUACUGUUCUUCGCUCUCUUUCUUUUUUUGCUUGGAUAUGUAUCACGACUUGUUAGAGUUCCAAUGUUGUGAAAUUCGAAAUAAAAUUAAAUUAAAUGUGCGAAAUUAGUAGGAUAAAAUGCAUGUAUAGUGUCCAUAAUGUCCGAAUGACGUGAUAUAUAUAGAUUUUACAUUACGUAUUAAUCUCCUCCGGCUACAAGAUCGAGUACAGGGACUAUACAUUCAUUGAAUGGCCGCGGAAGCAGCCGAAGCAGCGGAGUGGAUCCAUAGCGCAGCCACGGAAGAGGAGCGGAAGGGCGGCGAAGAAGCGGCGGACGAGGCUCCGGCCGCGACCGCAGCAGCGACGGCGGGGAGGAUGCGGCGGCAAGAGCUGGAGGUAUGUGCGGGCGGCGUGCUUCACGAGGGGGUCCCGUAUCGCCAUCCUUCCUGCAGAGGCGGCGGCCGCGGCAUACUCUGGCGAUCCGACGAUGUCGCGGAGGCUGACGUAGCCCUCCUCGGAGUUGCACCGCCGGAGCUCGAAUCUGUUGUCACCGCCGUAGGCCGUGGGGAAGCGAAGCGGCCUCGGCAUUGCGUCGUCGUGGCCGCCGCACAUGCAGCAGAGCCGCGGCGGUUCCCGGUGCCUUGUGUCUAGCAUUGUAGAGAGAGAGAGAGAGAGAGAGGUGGAAAGAGUUUACGUAGGAAGAGUUUCGUACGUAUAUAAUGUAUGUAGUUUGGUAUAGUAUGCAUGUAUAUAUAUAUAUGUGACGAGAUUAGAUAAAGGGAGUAGUAGUAGUAUAUCUAAAGUUGGAGAAGUACUAAACUUGUCCUACGUUUUAGGAGGAGAUAAUAUGUUUAUAGAUAAUUCUUUCACUAAGAUAUUGAGUAAGAAUCCUAAUAUGUUUAGGGAGGGACUAGAAUUGUCAAAUUAAGAGAUUAGUUUCGGAUUAGGUAUGUUAACAAAGAAUUUUUUAAAAAAAUUUAAUUUUUAAUAUUUAAAAAUAAUUUGAUAAAAAUAUAAAAUUUAUUAUAUUCUAUAUGUAGGUGUAAAGAUAAUAUUGCUUAUUAAAUUAUUCAAGGAUCUGUAGCUAAAAAACGAUUUUUGUUAAUAUACGUGGCAGCUUGCGCUGGUGCCACGUGUCUCUUCCUCUUGCCUCACAGAUCAUGGAGGGCCCAGGUCCCUCCCAAUACUUUUAGGCCCAAGAAGGCCCAAGACCCAAUUCCACUCCAAAACCAAACGUACACCCUUACGUCCUCCACAUCCACACGUCCAUUUCUCACCAUCAGAGCCAAAAACGCCAAAUCUCCACCGCACGAUUCAUGGGCCGAGAACACACGGCCCAGUUACGAUCCACGUGGCCCACUAUAAAUCCCCCCCAAAUCCUAUCGUCUUCUUCGUCUCUCUCUCUCUCUCUCUCUCUCUCUCUCUCUUCAAUGGCCGCAGCGGCUCUGUUACUCUCCACGCUCCCGCCCACGAAACGCGACCAACUCCUCCAAACCCAACUCAAACCCUCGCUCCCCACCGUCCGUCCACCCCGGAGCCGCUUUAAGAUUCGGGCCGUGCAGGAAACGAAAGAGGAGUUGAAGAGCUCCUCCUCGUCGCCCGAGGAGAUCACCGAGAAGUACGGGCUCGAAUUUGGGCUGUGGAAGGUAUUAUUACGAAAUUUGGAAAAAAAUAUAGAAUUAUUGUGCACUAGUUAUUUAAUUAGUUUAGUACGCGGUAUUUCAUGUUCUUAAUCCGUAUUAUCCCUUUCGUUAUAUUGUUUUUGUAGUAAAAUUUGUUUGAUUUGAUUUAUCCAAAGCUGUUUUAAAAUUCAAAAUUUGAAUGUUUUAUUUAUCCUCCUUAUAAAUUAUGUAGUUUUUAAAAUAAAAAAUUUAUUAAAAUAAAUAAUUAGUUUAAAUAUUGAAGUUAAAUUUUUUUUUGUGAUGGAUUAAAAUUAAACGAAUUGAAUGGGUAGAUAGUAAAAUCAAAAUUUUAAAAAAUUGUAUUGUCGAUUCAAAAUAAUUCAGAUAAUGUACAUUUGCUCCCAUGGUUAUUAGCGCACAUGUUAGGAACUUGUGAUUUAUCUAAUUUUUAUGGUGCACUUGAACGAAUGUGUUAGAAAAAUAAAAAUAAAAAUAAAAAUAAAAAAUUAUGCACCAACUUUUUCGGCGAUUAUAUUGUCUAGUUCAAACUUCAAGCUGCUUUGAAAUUCGAGCACCGUUACAGUAGAGUCACCAUAUAUACUCGUCUUUUUCUGUAAAAUGUUAUUUAUUGUUUCCUACUAAAUUGAUCUUUUUUGGUAGUAGUAGUAAUUAAAUAUUUUGCGAAUACAAUUGUUUGUGAAAAUGUGGAUUUGGUGUCUUUUUGGGUUGUAGAUAUUUAGUUCUAAGGAGAGAGGAGGAGGAGGAGGAGAUGGAGAAGGGAAAGAGAAGUCCAAAGGGGAUCAAGCAAAGGAACUUUUAGCUAAGUAUGGGGGAGCUUAUUUGGCUACUUCAAUAACCCUCUCUCUUAUCUCUUUCGCCCUCUGCUACAUUUUGAUUAGUGCUGGGAUUGAUGUGCAAGCCCUGCUAAAUAAGGUAUGUAAUAAUAUGGAGCUGAUUCUUUAGGUUUUGUUUGAGAUUAUUCUUUUUCUAUUUAUUUUUUUAAGGUAAAAUUAAUGGAUGGAGAUCCUACAAGUAGACCUCUAUGUCUAUAUAUAUAUAUAUAUAUAUAUUUUUUGAAGUUACCAUUUUUCAGCUUAUGUUUAUUUUGAAUUGAGUUACUUAGCGUCGAGGAAUCGAAAAUUUUUAUUGAAUUUAGUGACGAUUCAUUUAAUUUAAUGAUCUUGUCCCUUUCAACUAACAAGAAUAUCUGAUGAAAACAAGUUUAAGUUGGAACGAGCAAAACCUCAGGAAGGAUCUCAAUACAUUUUGAUCUUUUCGCUACAAGGUGAAGGGGAUAUGUAUUUAACAGUAAGGCUUUCCAAUGUUGCUUGAGGCAGGUCGGAAUUGUGACGGACGAGACCGGAGGGAAGGUGGGGACGUUUGCGUUGGCCUACGCUGCGCACAAGGCGGCGUCGCCGAUCAGGUUCCCUCCGACAGUGGCGCUCACUCCGAUCGUCGCGAGUUGGAUCGGAAAGAAGAGAGCCAAAUCAGAGGAGAAGUGAUCACUGAUUACUUCUCUCUCUCGAUGUGCACUUGAAACGCCACCCAUUUUGAUCUCCUUGCUCGCCUUCUUUUCCUUGUGUGUUUAUAUGUGAAGUAGAGAUUUUAUGAGUAGACAUGUAGAUUCAUGUUAUGUUUUGUGUUGUGUAUAUUAACAAGAUGAAUAGAUAUUACUUUUACUAACAUACUGAACUCUGAAGAUUCAUUUUCCGACAAAAAUUCGCCAAUUGAUAUUCGGAGAAGUUGAUUUCUAGCAAAAGAUUUGUCACCAAAAUUAUGUAGACGACUCAUUAGUCAUUAUUGCCUAUGCUUUAAUGCAAACCCUCCAACAGCAAAAUGAAAUCCAAGUUUUCAAUAGUCCGUAAGUAGAAAACAUCAUAACAAACUUUGCGAUGUCUAAUACCUCAAGAUUAAAGCCAGGGACCAAAGUGAAACUCAGACCUGUUGGUGUUUUAUGAUUGACAACGCAAUAGCUAUAGAUCACAUACGUUUUAUAGUUCAUCAUAACUCUCACAAGCAACGGAUACAUUGGAUUUCAAAUAUUUGUAGUUCAAUAACAGGAGAAACAUCAUAUUUUCUGAAAAAAUAUAUCUAUAUGGCCCAUCAAUUUACUUGAUAUGUAGAAUAAGUAGCUAAAAACCAUUCUCAUGUUCGAGUUAUUUAGAUCACGCAACUCGCUGAGGAUGAGUCUGCCUUCCAGAUUUCAAGAACUCAAAAAAGGAUGCUCCAUAUUCGCUUUCUCCAUGCCGCUUAUGCCACUCUUCGGUAUAUAAUUUCCGACCCAAAGUUGUUGCACUUAAAAGAGAUAUACAACAUCUAUCAUGCAACAUCCCCCUCAUCUUAAGUACUAUGUUGUUGCUUCGGACAAUCAUUUGCUUGUUUACUUAUGUGUCAUUUAGUUUUAGUGAACUUGAUGAACACUUCAUUCCUCCAAUUAAAAAAAGAAAGCAGCAGCUCUGAUUUUUACCUACAGUAUUCAGCUUGAACAAUCUCCGCGUUUAUCUUUGUGUUGCAUCUGUAUUGGAGGGGGCGUCAAUUACGCCAGACUCUUGCUGAUUUUGGGGCCGGGGUGUACUAACCUCGCCUGCGAAGUACUCGUCCAUGCUGAAUCUAUCUAUCUCAUCAAUUUGCUGUUCAGCUGUUGAUUCGAGUCAAGUACUCACGGUUGCAUGCACAAAAACUAAAAUAAUAUGUAGAAGGUUAAAAUGUCGACGAUCCUCCUAAACAUAUCACAAUUUGUCACGAUUUGCACUCCCCCCUCUCUGUAUUCACAAGGGAUUAAACUGCUAGCAUUUAUAAAAUGUAAGGGUUUAUUUCUAGGUUUUGAUUGUUGAGAGGGGUACAGGGCAGAUUGCAAUACAUUCAAGAGGUUAUCUGCAUUUUAACCUUGGUAGAAAGCAUAGAAUGAAGAAAAUGAUGAUGAAUGUCUUGAAGGAUACGUGCUGUUUUCCAUAUCUCAGUAAUGCUAGCCACAGAAUCCGAUAAAAGCCAGUAGUCAGCAUCGGUCUGCAAUUUAAUGAAACAAAUCAUUAUAAGAAUAUGUUUACACCAGUACUAAGCGGCUAUAUCCCAGGAAAAUUAUUUGCAUGAUGAAGCAUGUGCAACACCUCAAUUCAAUGCAACUUUUGGAUUGCAGUUUAGACAAAUUUAUUUGUAAUGAAAAUUUACUACUACUGGAUGAAGAUCUAUCAGAAGCAUGUUCUUGAGGCUAGAGCAAACUCUUAAAAUAGAGGUGAUGAAAUGCGACAAUCCUUCCUAAGUGAUAAUUGUUACUCAUAGUAUACAGGGAAUGUGUGCGCCAACCAACGAGAUAAUAGGAGUAAAUUACACAAUUGGAUAUGUUCACCAACCAACAAAAUAUUAGGAGUAAAUUACACAAUUGAUCACCGAACUCAUCAUGCGAUGCAAUUUAAUUUAGGUCGUUGAACUUUCUUUUGUUGCAAUUAAGUCAGUGAACUUCAAUUUCUAUUGAAUAGGGCCACUUCUUCCACCUAAGUUUAAUUUCUCAAAAAUAUAUAUAUAUAUAUAUAAUAGAGCGAUGACUGAGAGGCUGAUUUGAUAAUAGUGGUAUCUCAAAAGGAUAAUGCAGAGAUCAUGUUGCCAAGAAUUUAAUUGCCAUGUCAUCUCAAGGCUAUUUAAUUUACCCUCCACAUUAUCUUCGAUAAAUAACAAUCAGCUAAAUCAGCAUCAUUUCAACUCUUUGAUACGACAUGGUAGCUGAAUCCAUAUCCAAAUCAUCCAUCCCUCAGAGGAUUUUAUCGGAGUAUGAUAGAGUGACCUUGUUGAAAUAAAAACUGAAGUUCAGUUACGUAAUAGCAAUAAAUUAAACUUCCGCUACCUAAAUGAGACUUUACAGUAAGUUCCAUGACCAAUGGUGUCUCAAACAUUGAAUGAUACCACAACGAAUCGUGAGUGAUCGGUGGAAUACUCUUUGACAAUUUGCACUGUAGAAAAGAACUUACAUCAUCAUCUGAAGGAACAAUCUUUGUCAUUCCUCCCAGAUAAUCCUGUGAGGCAUUUAUGUCCAGGGCAAUCCUCUGACCAUCUUGAACAUUUAGUUCUGUCUCCUUACCUCUGCUACUCUCUGCAGCUACCACUGCUUUACAGCUUUCAGCAGGCCUUGAAUUUGGCAUCUGCGUAUUCCUUGGGGGAGUCUCCACACCACUCAUCUCCUCAAACUUCUCCUCAAAUUGACUGAAAAUAGUAAAAAGAUGGAGCUCAAAAGGUGAAAACAAACAAUACAAUUCAGAAUGAACGACGUAGUAAAUUUCCCAUUAGAAAUUAUUUACAGCAUUUGAGGAGAAGAAGACCGCAUUACCUAACAAGGUAAACAUCUAUUGGACCCAUAGUACUUCUUAGGACAAUUCUGUAUCUUCUCUGCAAAUAGUCACCAGCCUGCAUGCAGAGGGAGGAUAAAUUCCAAACGGCUCAAAUUGUCACAAUAGUGAAGUACAAUAAGCAUUGUUAUGAUACUUUAAAUCUUCUGCAAUGUUUCAACUCUCACUUCACUCUUACCUCGUCAGGAUCCGGGACUUCCAGCGUAGUGCCAUGAGGUGCUUUUAUUGCAAUUAGGGUUUCAUUCUGCAAUUAAGUAAAGGAGAUAUCGAUCCUUGUACUACUUUAUUGCGGUGAAAACUUGAUUCUACUAGAAAUUAUGGUAGAUCGAAUAAGAUUAACCAUACCUGAAAGCAGGGCAGUCCUUUAAUGUCAUCCUCCGUGACAUAAAGCCACCUAUAUGUAUGGAUGAUAUUGGAAAUUCAAAGUAAGCAUGAUUCGCUAACUGAAAUAACUUAGCACAAAUACAAGCAUGAAAAAUACAAUUAUUUUUCUUCUCAGAAGGAAAAAUAGGAAACACAAUUACUUUUGAUUAUUAUCGUCUUCUGUGAGCUCCCUUAACUUCUCUCGCAUUUCACUGCACAGAACCUAAUGUUUCAGAGGAUUACCGUACAAAGCAAAGAAAACAACAGUUCUACAGGUUUUGACCAAUGGCCAACCUUAUGCGCUCAUCUACGUUCUGCUCCUGCAAGGUAAGAUUUUCAACUUCCUCCUGAGAAAAAAAAAGAACAAAACAAAAAAAAAGCUAAGAACUUAGUUUUAGCCAUUCUCUUUCAGGCAAAAGUUAUAAAUAAAACAAACAGGUUAGCUCUUCAGAAAAGUGGUUAAAGAAUAAUGACUUUGACAACAGACAAAAGGAAAAAAUUGCACAGAAGCACUAUACCUGUAAUAUUGAGAAAUCAUUGUUAACUUCUGGUCUUGAGUCAUCUAGCCCCCUGGGAGUAAUAAAUUUUUAACUGUUAAAAGGACAAGCAGAAAGGAGGAAAUAUCGGCGAUAUAAAAGAUAAAAAAGUAAAAUUACUUCCAACGGAUUCUGUUCUUGAGUUUCUUUUCAAUCAGCCCGAUCCCUUCAAGAACAUUUGUUAUGUCAUAUAUUCGCCUCUUUUGCACCUGAAAGAUCCGAAGUAAUUGACUAAACUUUGCCGAAAGAAUAGCAUUUCACAUAACUAUGUUAGUAAUGACCAGCUAACCUCCAAUGUCUCUGCAGCUUUAUUCAAAUCAAGGAUGCCAUCUUGUGCAUGCUUAAGCAAAUUGAUGAACUUUUUUGUCAAUAGUCCUACAAAGCAUUACAAUGUAAAAUUAAGUAUGACAAGACAGUAAAUCUUCAUAUAGGCUCUUCAUCUCUAGAGCUGCUGAACUUUCCCAGAGUCGAAGAUACACUACAACUGAUUGGAGUCAUAAGGCUAAGAGUGUUGUAGUUACCUAGAGAGCUGUCAUAACGACAGGUACCGACUGGUGUGAGAGGAUUGCUAGAAGGGGAACCUGGAAAGACAAAAAGAUACAGCUUUUAGUCUAACAUAAAGCGCGCACACACACACACACACACACACACACACACAACCUAUAUACUCUGCAAAAUUAUCUCGUUAUUGAUAUAUCCUUGCAAAAAUUGAGCGUCUUUGUGCCCUUCAGAAACUUAAAGUUCACAUAUUAAAGCUUAAAUUCUAGACAUAUCAGAACUUAAAUUCUACAUAUGUUUCCAGUACUGACAAAAAUGCACCCAUUCAAAAAAAAAUUUGUUAGUAGAAACCAACCUUUUCAAGUGAAUUGUAUCCUUCCCACCUUCACAUGGGAGUAUUUUUUUCCAAGAAACUACACAUUUGAGGAGUCUAUACAGAUAUUAAAAU
rnacentral:lncRNA from 1 species